rnacentral:lncRNA from 1 species
AAAAAAAGGAGGAGGUGGGAAGGAAGGGGGACUCCCUCCCACCAAACCUAGUCCAACUCGGUUUGGGGGGCAGAGUCCUCCCCCUUGGACUCGGCCGACCCCCUUGAGCCCCAAGGCAAGGCCCCCUCCCUCCCACCUAUAUAUACGGAGGUUUUAGGGCUGAUUUGAGACGACUUUUCCACGGCAGCCCGACCACAUACCUCCACGGUUUUUCCUCUAGAUCGCGUUUCUGCGGAGCUCGGGCGGAGCCCUGCUGAGACAAGGUCAUCACCAAUCUCCGGAGCGCCGUCACGCUGCCGGAGAACUCUUCUACCUCUCCGUCUCUCUUGCUGGAUCAAGAAGGCCGAGAUCAUCGUCACGCUGCCGGAGAACUCUUCUACCUCUCCGUCUCUCUUGCUGGAUCAAGAAGGCCGAGAUCAUCGUCACGCUGCCGGAGAACUCUUCUACCUCUCCGUCUCUCUUGCUGGAUCAAGAAGGCCGAGAUCAUCGUCACGCUGCCGGAGAACUCUUCUACCUCUCCGUCUCUCUUGCUGGAUCAAGAAGGCCGAGAUCAUNNNNNNNNNNNNNNNNNNNNNNNNNNNNNNNNNNNNNNNNNNNNNNNNNNNNNNNNNNNNNNNNNNNNNNNNNNNNNNNNNNNNNNNNNNNNNNNNNNNNAUUUAUGCCAUAGCUUUCAUUUCAUGUUACUAAUCACUUAGCAACCGAACCGGUAUCCAAUACCCUCAUGCUACUAGGAGUACUAGUAAAGUACACAUCAACAUCAUGUAUAUCAAAUAUACUUCUUUCGACUUUUGCCAGCCUUCUUGUCUACCAAGUAUCUAGAGUUGCUCCGCCUCAGUGACUGUUCCCCUCAUUACAGAAGCACUUAGUCUCGGGUUUGGGUUUAAUCUUGGGUCUCUUCAUUAGUGCACAACUGUUUUGCCGUUUCACGAAGUAUCCCUUCUAGCCCUUGCCUUUCUUGAAACUUAGUGGUUUUACAAACCAUCAACUAUUGAUGCUCCUUCUUGAUUUCUACUUUCGCAGUGUCAAACAUCGCGAAUCGCUCAAGGAUCAUUGUAUCUAUCCUUGAUAUGUUAUAGUUCAUCACGAAGCUCUCACCGCUUGGUGGCAGUGACUUUGGAGAACCAUCACUAUCUCAUCUGGAAGGUUAACUCCCACUUGAUUCAAGUGAUUGUCGUACUCAGACAAUCUGAGCAUACGCUCAACGAUUGAGCUUUUCUCCUUUACUUUGUGGACAAAGAAUCUUGUUGGAGGUCUCGUACCUCUUAACAAGGCCACAAGCAUGAAAUCACAAUUUCAUAUCUUUAGAACAUCACUUAUGUUCCGUGACGUCUCAAAACGUCUUCGGCGCCUUGCUUCUAAGCCAUUAAGUAUUUUGCACUGAACUAUCGUGUAGUCAUCAGAAACGUGUAUGUCCGAUGUUCACAGCAUCCACAGACGACGCUCGAGGUGCAGCACACCGAGUGGUGCAUUAAGGACAUAAGCCUUCUGCGCAGCAACGAGGACAAUCCUCUGCAAAGUUUGCUACUAUCAACUUUCAACUAAAUUUUCUCUAGGAACAUAUAAAAACAGUAGAGCUAUAGUGCAAGCUACAUCGUAAUUCGAAAAGACCAUUAGACUAUGUUCAUGAAAAUUACUUCAAUUAAUCAUAUUACUUAAGAACUCCCACUCAAAAAGUACAUCUCUCUAGUCAUUUGAGUGGUACAUGAUCCAAAUCCACUAUCUCAAGUCCGAUCAUCACGUGAGUUGAGAAUAGUUUCAGUGGUAAGCAUCUCUAUGCUAAUCAAAUCAACUAUACGAUUCAUGCUCGACCUUUCGGUCUCAUGUGUUCCGAGGCCAUGUCUGCACAUGCUAGGCUCGUCAAGCUUAACCCGAGUGUUCCGCGUGUGCAACUGUUUUGCACCCGUUGUAUGUGAACGUUGAGUCUAUCACACCAGAUCAUCACGUGGUGUCUCGAAACGAAGAACUGUCGCAACGGUGCACAGUCGGGGAGAACACAAUUUCAUCUUGAAAUUUUAGUGAGAGAUCACCUCAUAAUGCUACCGUCGUUCUAAGCAACAUAAGGUGCAAAAAAGGAUUAACAUCACAUGCAAUUCAUAAGUGACAUGAUAUGGCCAUCAUCACGUGCUUCUUGAUCUCCAUCACCAAAGCACCGGCACGAUCUUCUUGUCACCGGCGUCACACCAUGAUCUCCAUCAUCAUGAUCUCCAUCAACGUGUCGCCAUCGGGGUUGUCGUGCUACUCAUGCUAUUACUACUAAAGCUACAUCCUAGCAAAAUAGUAAACGCAUCUGCAAGCACAAACGUUAGUUUAAAGACAACCCUAUGGCUCCUGCCGGUUGCCGUACCAUUGACGUGCAAGUCGAUAUUAUCUAUUACAACAUGAUCAUUUCAUACAUCCAAUAUAUCACAUCGCAAGCAUACCCUGCAAAAACAAGUUAGACGUCCUCUAAUUUUGUUGUUGCAUGUUUUACGUGGUGACCAUGGGUAUCUAGUAGGAUCGAAUCUUACUUACGCAAACACCACAACGGAGAUAUAUGAAUUGCUAUUUAACCUUAUACAAGGACCUCCUCGGUCAAAUCCGAUUCGACUAAAGUUGGAGAAACUGACACUUGCCAGUCAUCUUUGAGCAACGGGGUUACUCGUAGCGAUGAAACCAGUCUCUCGUAAGCGUACGAGUAAUGUCGGUCCAAGCCGCUUCAAUCCAACAAUACCGCGGAAUCAAGAAAAGACUAAGGUGGGCAGCAAAACGCGCAUCGCCGCCCACAAAAACUUUUGUGUUCUACUCGAGAAGACAUCUACGCAUGAACCUAGCUCAUGAUGCCACUGUUGGGGAACGUCGCAUGGGAAAUAAAAAAUUUCCUACGCGCACGAAGACCUAUCAUGGUGAUGUCCAUCUACGAGAGGGGAUGUGUGAUCUACGUACCCUUGUAGACCGUACAACAGAAGCAUUAGUGAACGCGGUUGAUGUAGUGGAACGUCCUCACGUCCCUCGAUCCGCCCCGCGAACAAUCCCGCGAUCAGUCCCACGAUCUAGUGCCGAACGGACGGCACCUCCGCGUUCAGCACACGUACAGCUCGACGAUGAUCUCGGCCUUCUUGAUCCAGCAAGAGAGACGGAGAGGUAGAAGAGUUCUCCGGCAGCGUGACGGCGCUCCGGAGGUUGGUGAUGAUCUUGUCUCGGCAGGGCUCCGCCCGAGCUCCGCAGAAACGCGAUCUAGAGGUAAAACCGUGGAGAUAUGUGGUCGGGCUGCCGUGGCAAAGUCAUCUCAAAUCAGCCCUAAAACCUCCGUAUAUAUAGGGCGAAGAGGGGGAGCCUUGCCUUGGGGCUCAAGAGGCCCCAAGGGGGUCGGCCGAGCCAAGGGGGGAAGGUCUCCCCUUCCAAACCGAAUCCAACUUGGUUUGGAAGGUGGAGUCCUUCUUCCCUUUCCCACCUCCUCCUUUUUUUCUUUUCUCUUUGAUUUUCUUCCUAUGGCGCAUAGGGCCUUCUUGGGCUGUCCCACCAGCCCACUAAGGGCUGGUGCGCCACCCCCAAGGCCUAUGGGCUUCCCCGAGGUGGGUUGCCCCCCCCCCCCGGUGAACACCCGGAACCCAUUUGUCAUUCCCGGUACAUUCCCGGUAACUCCGAAAACCUUCCGGUAAUGAAAUGAGGUCAUCCUAUAUAUCAAUCUUCGUUUCCAGACCAUUCCGAAAGCCCUCGUGACGUCCGUGAUCUCAUCUNNNNNNNNNNNNNNNNNNNNNNNNNNNNNNNNNNNNNNNNNNNNNNNNNNNNNNNNNNNNNNNNNNNNNNNNNNNNNNNNNNNNNNNNNNNNNNNNNNNNGGAGAGGAUCCAAACAGUGUGUGCAUGCAUUGUAUCCCUUGUUUGACUGUCCUGAAAUGUUACUAAGAGCAGGCCAAUCAUUGAUGGUUACGAAAAGCAACGCUCGAAGGUCAAAUUCCUCUUGUUUGUGCUCGUCCCACACACGUACACCUGGUUCGGCCCAUAGCUGUAAAAGUUCAUCAACUAAUAGCCUUAGGUACACAUCAAUAUCGUUGCCGGGUUGCUUUGGACCUUGUAUAAGCACUGGCAUCAUAAUGAACUUCCGCUUCAUGCACAACCAAGGAGGAAGGUUGUAGAUACAUAGAGUAACGGGCCAGGUGUUGUGACUGCAACUCUGCUCCCCAAAAGGAUUCAUGCCAUCUGUACUCAGACCUAACCAUAAGUUCCUUGCGUCAGCUGCAAAUCUCGGGAACUUUCUCUCGAUUUUUCUCCACUUCCGACCAUCAGUGGUGUGCCUCAACUUAUCGUCUUUCAUACGAUCUUCCAUUUGUCAUCGCAACAACUUCGCAUGAUCUUUAUUUCUGAACAGACGUUUCAACCGUGGUAUUAUAGGAGCAUAUCACAUCACCUUGGCAGGUACCCUUUUCCUGGGUGGCUCGCCCUCAAUAUCACCAGGGUCAUCUUUUCUGAUCUUAUACCGCAAUGCAGUCCAUACCGGGCAUUUAUCCAUAUUCUCGUACUUCUCACCGCGGUAGAGGAUGUAGUCAUUAGGGCAUGCAUGUAUCUUCUGCACGUCUAAUCCUAGAGGGCAGACAAGCUUCUUUGCUUCGUACGUGCUGGCGGGCAAUUCGUUCUUUCUUGGAAGCAUCUUCUUCAUCAGUACCAGCAACUUUUCGAAUGACGAGUCAGUCACACCGGUCUCUGCCUUCCACUUCAGCUAGUCCAGUGUGCUACCCAGCUUCUUCUGGCCAUCUUCACAAGUUGGGUACAACAAUUUGUUGUGGUCCAGUAACAUCUACUCGAACUGCAACCUCUCCUUUUCUGUGUCGCAACCUCGCCGUGCAUCAGAAAUGACCCGGCCAAGAUCAUCAGCGGGCUUAUCUGGUUCGCGUUCUUCAUCCAGAUCUUCUUCUUCAUUGUCUUCCAUUGCGGUAUCAGCAUACUCAGGGAACAUAGAUCGGUAGUUGUCAUCAUCGUUCUCUUCUUCUUCAUCGUCGUCUUCCAUCAUAACCCCUCUUUCUCCGUGCUUAGUCCAAACAUUAUAGCCCGACAUAAAACCGGACCGAAGCAGGUGGCUCUGAAUGACUCGUGAGGAAGUGUAAUCCUUCUCAUUCCGACAUUCAACACAUGGACAAAACAUAUAGCCACCAUCAUGCUUGUUCGCAUCGGCUGCAUCUCGAAAAGAAUGCACGCCUUUUCUAUAAGCGGCUGUGCGUCGACCAUCAUACAUCCAUGGAUGGCUCAUCUGUGUUAUACGACAGUAUAUCAAAUACAAUCACGAUCCUAAAAAUUAGUACCGCAUGGUCUAAACGAGGAAAUAUAGUUGCUAACCUUUUAGAAUAAGUAGAAAUAAAGAGGAACAGGUUUAAGCGUGGCUCAGGCAUCUCAUAUCGUAGUUGUGUUCGGUGAACUGAAACGGCAUCGCUCUAACACACAUUUCAACAAACACCUCUAGUGCAUCAAAAAAGUGGAGAGCAAGCACCCACCCACAAUCCUCCAUCCAAGAAAAAUGCAGGGGGGCUGUGCUAUAUAUAGGCAGAGGACUUUAGUCCCAGUUUGAGACACAAACCGGGACUAAAGGUGGCGCACAUGCGGGCUGCCCACCGCGUAACCCUUUAGUCCCGGUUUGGGACACGAACCGGGACUAAAGGCUCCUUACGGACCGGGACUAAAGCCUCGAGGGAGGCAUUGAGAAUUGGGGCGACGUGGCCGGGCCUUUAGUCCCGGCCCAGAGGCAGGCCGGGACUAAAGGGUCCAGGCUAAAGGCCCGUUUUCCACUAGUGGCAUGAGAUCUACGUAACUUGCCAUGGGGGUAACGCAAAUUAUAUGAUCAUAGAUCCUGUGAGAAUUAGGAGCUGGGAAAACAAUCGGGUGAUCAAUUCAGAAGUGUAUCCUUACUAACACACUAUGUUGGAUAUGUAGUACUCUUGUAAUUUGUUGGACUGCACAUGUAACGGGUUGAUGUGACAACAAAAAGUGAGAUUAAAUUUAUUCUAUGGGUUUAGACAUGUUGUACUAGCCACACAUGCCGUGACCAUAUUGUGUUGUCCAUGCAUCAACUAAAGACUUGAAAACAAUAAAAAAUAGCUAAUGCUAGAUUACACCAAAUAUGUUGAAUAGUAAAAGAAAUUGUUACAUAAAGACAAGUAAAUGAUGAAGCAUGGUCUUAAAAUGCCCCCAGGUUCGCUCGCUCCCCCACCCCCCGAAGGAGACGGGUGAAUCCCCCUCUCCCCCUGUCCCCCUACCCCUUCUCCGCCGCUUUCUCCUGCUGUCGCAGGUUUGGUCCUCCAGCCCCACGGUAUUUCCCUGCACGAGCGAGGGGGCGCGGGACCUCCUUAUGGCGGCGGUGCUGCUCAUCCGGGAGUGGUGUAGUUCGGUGGUGUGGAAACCGCGGGUCACCGGUGCUUCUGAUGCGGUGGCUCGACCGUUGGUCGCGGGACGGCAUGGCGGAGCCGGUGGAAGGCGACGCCCGCAUGUCCCAGAUGUGGGCCCUUUUGGACCCCAUCUGGGUUAGGGUGGGUCGGUAUGUCUGAGCACGGAGGUGUUGCUCCCUGUUGUUGGUGGCGAGGAGAUGGUGGACUGCUCGUGGUAGCGGUUUCAUCAGACGGCAAGCUGCAGUGGGGCGACAACAGCUCUCCGUAUCCAUUUGGGCUUGGGUGGACCAGUCGGGCCUUUUAAGUCCCUGUCGACGCGUCCGGUCGGCUCAGCGAUGGCGGUGGAGGCCCCCCAGCCCAUUAUCUCCUCUAGCAUCCUCCAGGUCUCAUGCUGGUGGACUCACUGAGACGGCGAAGAUAGUUCGGUGACUGUGGUGUCACAUGCGGGUCGGCUGCGUGUAGGUUGGGCAGUACACUACUGAUCGUUCACGAUGGUGGUGUGUGUUUGGGUCGGGAGAAAUCCCUGGCAGGUCGUCCGGCUCUGAUGCGGCAACGCCUCUGGGUGCCGCCGGGCCUUCCUGAAGGGAGUCGGGUAUGCCCUUGCCGAACUACCCUCCAUGUAUCAGAGGAAACACUAGGACUAGUCCGUACAACAAUGCCGUUGUCGUCGCAUUCUUUCUUUAAGAUGUUGCUAGGUAUGAGACGCCUCGGAGUGCUAGGAGCGCGGUGGUACUUCUUCGGAGGGUGGAACGGUUGUCGGUCAUGUUUGCUUCAUGGAUCUGCCGGUGUUGGCAUUUGUUUCUCUUUUCUAUUUCUAUCGUUUUUUGGCUAGCUUGUGUCGUGGCCUGAGUGUGCUCGAUGUAUCGAUUAGUUGCUUUAUAAUAUAAAGCGGGGAAACCUUUAUUGUCAAUCUGCAACAGAACUACUUGGCCGAACAAACAGUACUCAGUUUGCAACAAUCAUCACUAUGAAAGGGCAAAUGACGGGCAGCUGUGGCGUGGAUGUGAGGGUAUAGUUAAUUCGUGCAAUUUUUUUUUUGUUGAGGAAGUGCAUCAGCCUUUUUUUUGCAUCGAAUGCAUGACUUUACUCAACUUAAUAUUAACUGAUUAUAGUAUGCUUGCAGACAACUGAUAAGGAAAUCAGGGCUAAGAUUUAGCCUGCUCUCCGUACCAUCGAGCGUAAAAGCACGUUGCGCACAUAGGUGGGCCGGUACAUUAAGUUCCCUGUUGACAUGCGGAAAUGAGAAGGUAGAAUCUGCUCCUAAUCUCUUAUGAUAGGCGUCGAAAUGAACCGAAUAUUGCCGCACUUGUUCCAUAGAGUGACUAGCUCCAAGCUAUCACUCUCUAUGAUCACAUCUUAAUAUAUAUGGAGCUGGACGGAGAUCACCCCCUCCCUGGGACCAGCAGCUCUGCCAUGAACGUAUACGAAACUCGAGGCAAUGGCUUACUCUGGCUCCCAAAAAUGCGAUGUGGGAUUUCCUAUACAGCCUUGUGCAAUGUUGUUGAAACAUCAUACGGUCGUGGCAUUUCUAUACGGCGCCUGUUGCGUUACUUCAUUAUUUGCAAUGUUGUUGAGUAAGCAUGCACCUGGCAUGGACCAAACUAACCAUGAGUGAUGUUGCGUUUAUUGCAUAAUUCCUUUACACCUAAUCUUGGUCUUCGCUCCAUCUCAAUUUACAUGUCUUGAAGUACAAAUCUUGCAUAUCUCCAGUAUAAAAUACAUUUUCUGCCAACAUAAAGAUCACUCACUCGUUGUUAAACUGCCUAAGCAUGUUGGUUACAUUCCUUUCUACUCAUCUGAGAAUUCACCCACGAGUAUGUGUUGAUUACUGGUUUCAAAACCAUGUUCAUUAUUGUUAAGCUUCUGGCAUGGUUGGAGCGCAUCGCGCUUGGAGGAAAACAGGGGAUUGGCUGUUUCAAACAAUAAUUAUGGGGACGAAAAGGAAAGGAAAACGAUAUAUCGCCAUCUUCCCAUUCCUACCUCAUUCUCUUGUUAAUCCCAAUAGGAAGCCAAAAAAUCCUGCUUAUGUAUACUAAGAUGAUUUUCCAUUUAAUUCCUAGAGGUUUUAUUGGAGCAAACAAAUAUAUUAAAUUUUUCAUAUGUGAAUGGGAUUCUAGAUCAGCCUUAGAAGUUCAAAUUACAGACAAAUUGAAGCAAUCACAGUAAACUUGUAAUUGAAAUAAUUAGGUGCUCAAAAUAUUUGUUAUUAGUAAGCAAAAUCUCGUACGAAAUUGGGCACUUGAUCUAUACAUAUUUCAUACAUGCAUUGAUGAAUUAUAACUAGCAGGAUCAAAAUUGCGGCAAGCACAUCGAAUUUUCAAACACCCUACAAAAACAAAUGGAUCUCUCAUUUACGUGCAAUAUACAAAUGAAAAAUGAAUUUGUAGAUGUCCUAUAUAUAGUUAAUGUCCACAACGUCCUCAACUUGUCUUGCACAAACCACAUGAAUUUCUCAAGGGUUUCUGGGUUUUGGUUGCGGUAUCGUGUUGCACUCCACUGCAUUGUUGUAGUUAUCAUCUGCCACAUCAACACACUGAAAUAAUACUACCGUAGUAGUUUAUAACCGAACAUGUGCUGAUGGCUGGCAUAGGUAGAUCGACCGUGCAUGACUUCAUGAUGGCAUGUAACAAUAAACAUGUAAAGAAACAUUAGAAAAAAAUCAUUAUUCGUGAUGGCAUAGUACUAUUCUAUUGCCAAACGUUAUUACCAUUAACAAGAAAUUCAACUCUAUGUAUAUGUUGGGAGAUGCAUGUUAUUCGCCACACCUCUUGAAGAAUUCUGGCACUUUAUCGAUAAGGUAGUUUGCAGGACUACGUACCAUCCAUCCUCAUUACCUAAUUUGUCCAUUAUCAUUUUUCAAAGUCAUCACUCGCCUAUCUACCUUCCAACCUAAUCUUGAGAUCCGAACCCUACAUACAUUACAUAUACUUCCUACUCCCAUGUCAUGCUUAGUUUUCACUCCCAAACUCAGUGCUUUACCUCAUCUUCGUUUGCUUGGAUUCCCAAGUAUUGAUGGGCUCUCAAACACGGGGGACAAGGAUUAGUCUUCCAUCCUUUUUAGAUAUUGACUAGAAAACAUGUCCGUGUGUUGCACCGGCAUAAAAAAUGAUCCCACAUACACACACCCGUCGAAAUCAGCAAAUUCCUUGAAGUAUUUCAUGAUGUGGCACGGCAAACAAGAUGAUAAGCUGUGUUGUCUAAAAACAUAAACAUGGAAUGAUUUUUAGUGUAAGGUAUUUCCAAUUUAUUAGACAACCAAAAUAUCUAUGAAGUUGCCCUUCUCUUUUUAAGCAAUUCUCGUCGUCCCUCCACUAGUAAAAAACAGGUCUUUCAUUUGACCCUUUAGUCCCGGCUUGGUUGUGAACCAGUUCCAAUGGCUAGGAACGGUUGGCGGGCACGGUGUAACGACUAAGAUGCGGCCCUUUCCUAUUUUGGGGGCGAUGCCUCAAAANNNNNNNNNNNNNNNNNNNNNNNNNNNNNNNNNNNNNNNNNNNNNNNNNGGGAAAGAGGCGCAUCUAAACGUUUCGCAAGCGAGAUAAUCAUAACAUUACGUAUAUGAAGAAUGACAAGUAGGGCAUACACUUGCCAUCUGACAUAGUAUAACGUAAGGUUUACAGCCACACAAUUAUUCAGAACAAGUUUAGUCCCGCUACGGACAACAUGAAACAAGUAAAAGAGCUAUGACAUCCCGCAUGCUGGCCCACGAUCACGACCAUGGCCUGAGUCCUCCGGAUAGUUCACGUACAGUCGGUCAGACUCCUCAUCGUACUGCCACGCCAGCUGGGUGCCAUCAGGAUCUCCGGCGUCGGACGUACCUGUACCUGUUGGGGGUGUUCUAGUAAACUGUGAGCCACGGGGACUCAGCAAUCGGAUGACCUUGGUACCGAAACUAGUCAAGUUAUUUGGUGAGGAAGGUUUAGUGUAUAGGAUGCAGCAUCCGAAGCUUGUAUGGUGGCUAACUUACGACGAUCAGAGUAUUUGAUAUGGUGGUCUGCGCGAGCGGUCCAAGUCUAGAUGAUCACUAAGUGAUCCUGAACACCUACUUAUGUCAAACAUAACCCCACCGUGUUCCCGAUCGAAGAGAGGUCUUCGAAGGAGACAGUCACGGUUACGCACACAAUUGGCAGUUUUAUUAGAGUUACUUUAAGUUGUCUAGAAUCGGAUGUUAAAAAAUUAUCCAUGUUUGCCACAUAACCACGGGCACGGCUUUCCGAAAGAUUAAACCCUGCAGGGGUGCUCCAACUAGUCCAUCACAAACUGCCACGGGCCGCAAAGUAAUCCUCUAUCACGAAUCUCGUGAUCUCGUCGGAUUCCUUAGAGGAAAACCUCAACUUUGAGGAGACCCAAAGUUUCACCGAGACUCUUAUACGCAAGAUAUAUCGCUAAGGUAAGACAAAUCUAGCAGGACCUCCCGUCNNNNNNNNNNNNNNNNNNNNNNNNNNNNNNNNNNNNNNNNNNNNNNNGUCGUGUAGACGACCCCGAUAAGAGUCGCGUAUCUCAGUCACAGGACACGACGGAUGAGCGAUGGUUACCAUGCCAAAACACCGAGUUGCCCCGGGGAGCGUAAUAAGCUGCUCUGGGUUGGACCAACACUCAUGAGGAGCACUGGCCCGGGUUGUUGAUUAAAUCCUCGGGGUAGCUAUUCCCUAUGCAAAUUAUUAUUGGGUGAUUAGCAAAUUAAAACCAAUGUUGGGUCCUGCCGGACAAGCCUUAACACUACACGAUUUAUCAAGGGGGUCCCCAUAACAACCGCGAACGUGUUAGGAGCGAUCAAUUAUGGAAUCAAACACCGGUAGCCGAAACUAAGGCGGCAACAACGGAACAAAUCACCCGGCAAAAGGCUAGGCCUUCCAUCAUUUACCAAGUAUAUAGGUGCAUUAAUUAAAUGGCAGUUUAAUCAUAAUGUUAUCGAAAUACUCAUGUUAUCACAUGAGACAGUGGGCACCUACAGCUAGCAAAGCUAUUCAUUACAGUUUGAGCAAGCCUACUUAGCCAAACAACUUUUGCUAGGAGAGGAAGGUGUUUGGGUUUCAUGGCAAUAGCAGGAGGCAUUAUAUCAAGUGGUAGGCAGCGAGCAUAUAUCGAAGGAAACGUGAUUCUAAGCAUAACAAAGCUAGAUACGGUAUCCAGGUCACGGUCAUCUUGCCUGUGAUGUCUUCAGCUUGGAACAGCUCUUGAUCUUCCUGCACGUGCUCUCCCAAAUCCACGUACUCGCUCUCCGAUCCCGAUGCUACCCAAGAUAAAAUAACAACCAAUGAACACCAACACAACAUGAUGCAACAAACAAUAUGAUGCAUGAGAUGAGUUGAUAAACUUCUGGACAGAACUUCAUACUAAGUUAUCUUGACAUGCAUGAGGAUGGCAUGAACAUGUGCAUCACGAGAAAACGAAGCAAAAACAAAGAACAUAGAGAACAGAGCUACGGAUCAACCGGAAACUACAAAAGAAGAUAUGGAGUCCUACGGUUCAAAUCAACCACAAGCACACUCCAAUGGCACUCUCCUGGUGUCACCAGGUUGCCACAUGAUCAAGCAAUCACAUACAAGUGGGGUGGUGCAUGGAAUCACAGCACACCAUCAACAAUGCCCACACAAGCUUCAAAACAACUAAAACAUGCAAUCUGUUUUUAACAGCAUCAUAGCAGUUUGUCUACAACAUUCAAAGUACCUACAGCCACCCAAAUGAGCCAAACAAGAUAUUAGGCAAAAGCCAUUCAAAAGCUCUACAAGCCUGUGCAAGAAGUUACUGCAAAGACAUCACACAUGAGAAGAUCUACACGCACCAAAAUGGACAAAACAUUAUAGAUUCUGGGACAUAGUGAAAAUCUCAGAUUUUCACCAGUUGCUUAUGCUCUGAAGCAUUUUGGCUGCCGACGCCUCCAAAAUGAUAUCUACAGGAAGUGAAAGAGCAUGAAAUUUAACAGGGAGCUAGACAAACACAAAAUCUCACAAACCUUAGUUUGUUGCAUGGGCUGAUUCCCAGCACAUGAGCUUGUGCAACCAAAUCAACAAGGGUAGAAAAUAACAGCAGAUUCUCAGACUUAGUGAAAAUCUCAGGUUUUCACAAAGCUGUCAAUUUCAGACAAGUGUCAACUUUGACAAGGCACAACAAGUGCAUACAAACUCCUAUGAAUAAAAGAAAGACCCCAUGCGGUAGAGGAGUUCACCCACUACUUCCACAUCAAGGAUUCAUCCUCAUAGGGUCAAAGCACUACAUGAUACUAAGCUCUAAACAUGGCAUCAAGACAGAAAAUGACAGUUUAUGAACUUGCUAUAAAGUGAAAUCUGAUUCCACCAGUAGAUUCGUGAGAUGAUUCUACCCCAAAAGCAUAUAUAAUACAUGGGUACUUGCAUGUAACAUGUAGGCACAAAGCUAGCUCGAAAAACAGCAUAAAAAUCAAUAUGAGCAUAUAGGAGCAUUAUCACAUGUGUCUUAGCACUUGCAGCAUCUACUACUCCUACAUAUGCACACACACAAGGUUCAUACACCACCACAUCACCAUAGUGGCAAGCAUGAGGGGUUAGCCCUCAUGCAAAAGUGCAUAUGUGCACUCAUGUCCACACACACACAUGCAAGAACACACACAUGCAACUAUAUGUGCCUACACACACACUACAAGAGGUGCAUCAAGAGGGGCUGCCCUCUUGCACAUAUGCAUGUGCCACCACAUGCACACACACACACACUCACCCUCAUGUGCACAUGUAUAUACAAGUGCACACUCACACUACUCAUACUCACACAAGCGCUUGCACACACACUCAAACAUACAUAAGAGCUAAACUUAAAAGGAUUAAACCCACUGGUUUUGAUAAAAACCCAAGACAUCUUGUUGCCCAAGUAAUGUAACAGGAAAACAAAAUGAACAAAAGUGCACACUCAGACUACUCAUACUCACACAAGCGCUUGCACACACACUCAAACAUACAUGCUCACCAUCAACACUUGAUGCUCUUUACGGAGUUCAGACUCUGCGACUUUCAGCAUUGCAAACAACUCGCCGGGAGACUUGUUCAUCCCUUGCAUGUUGUAGUUAGGUUUAGUUUUGAUAAAAACCCAAGACAUCUUGCUGCCCAAGUAAUGUAACAGGAAAACAAAAUGAACAAAAGGUAAAAUAUAAAAGGGGGGGGGUCCCCAGGAUUCGAACCUAGGUCUCCUGGUGCAACACACACACCACACCACUACACACACACCACAGGUGAUCUAACCCUGUCUGUCGAUCUACCGCUGUUCUAAAACAAAUAAAAAAAAGGGGGGUUUCCAGGGAUCGAACCCACGACCUAUGGCAACAACACACACACACUAAGCAGUCGGGCUACGAACAGAGUCUUGACAGGGAGGGGGGAAGGUGCUCUUUGACCAUCCCCCUCUGCACUCCCUACAGGCCAGCGCGGCCGGAACAGGGAACCUCAUCGGCGGCACAACGGCGACACUAUGCGACCAGACGACGGCUACACGCUACGGGGAAGAAGAGGGAACCACCAGGGUUCCAUUCCCGCCCUAAGCUCACCGGGAGGUGCACUACUACGGCGGCUCCACGAUCACCUAGCUACGAUAGGUGCUGCUACUGCCCACGCGACCAGACAACGCCGGCGAUGAGCUCCGGGCGCUGCAGAGGGAAGGAUGAGGUGGAGGGGAGAGGGGCACGCUCACCUAGGGUGUCGAGGAGGAAGGGCUCGUCGGAGAGGAAAAAGGUGACGAAGAGGUGCUGUAGAAGGAUCUCGUCGGAGAGGAAAAAGAGGGUCGUCGUCACGCCGUCGAUGCCGAGGCUCCCUACGCUCGAUCUUCUCGGGGAUGGGACUCCCGCAGCCACCGCGUGCUCCUGGACCGUUCGGGGAAGAAGAAGGGGCGAUGAUCUGUCGGCAGCGAGCUUACCAGGGGUCGGCCAUGGCGGAUGCUCUGCUCGGGAAAGCCCCCGACGGCGCUAGAGAGGAGAGGAGGAGGAAAACGGAUGGCCUAGGGUUGCGGGGAGGGUUCUGGCUGCUUAAAUGGCAUCAGGCCGCGUUCUUGGAGCCGCAAGAUCGAGAGGGGGGAGGGUAUGUGGCUGUGUUGUGGUCGUACACAGUGACGACAACGAGGAGGAAGAAGGGUCGCCGGAUGGACUGCGCGCGCAAGGAAAGGAGACAAUGGGCCAGGAGACAUGAGGAGGCCCAUAUGCUUGCGCCAGAUAAACAGAGGGAAAAACCAAAAGGUUUUUUCCAUUUAAAACAAAACCACAUCCAAAUGAAUCACCUAGGACAUUCUGGGGUUCCAAAAAUAAAAAUAAAACAUCCCUGGGCACAAGGAAAUUAUGCUCUAUUUAAAUAAAAUGAAAAGUAGAUUUUUGGAGCAACUAAAAUAAACACAAAACAGAAUUAUUUAAAUCUGUUUUGUAGAUAAAACCACACUUAAGUAAAGUUUUGAAAAUCCCUAGUCACAUCUCUAAACCCACGAGAAAAGGCAUUAAAAGAACUACAUUUUUAAACCAGGAAUAAAACAAAUCAAACAUGAGCUCACUAUAUAAGGGGAAGGGCUUUAUUUGAAUUCUAGUUUGAAAACACCCAAGUUUGAAUCCAAGUUGGCAACCACCACAUCAUCACACCACACAUAUGGAUAAACAACAACAACAACAACAAAAGAAAUGGCAUAAAUGCAAUGAAUGGUAUGAUGCAAAGGUGGAGACAUGUAAUGACAACUCUCAUAUAGCAUGACCUCAUGGAUCCAAACAUCAAAGGUUUCCAAAUAUGGCAAGGUUACAUCUGGGGCAUUACACACGGGCACCAUUACUCCCGGUUCAAUUUGAACCUGUACUCCCGGUUUGUGAUACCAACCGGAACUAAUGGGUUGGUGGCAGUCUGGUGUCAGGCUGGGGCCCCCACUAGCCCCUUUAGUCCCGGUUUGUAUCACAAAACGGGACAAUAGGUAGACCUUUAGCCCCGGUUUGUGAUCCAAACCAGGACUAAAGAUUUUCCUAUAUAAACCCCUUCGUCCAGCCCGAGCACAUUGCUCUAUUUUCUCCAUUCCCCUCUCUGUUCUCCCCCUUGGCUUGAGCUCAACCUUCAUUUUUGCCAAGAUUUGUCAAGGUUUGAGGCACCCCAUCUCUCCAAGUGUUCACAAAGGUUAGCAAAUUUGUCCUUUCAUCUCUCAUUGCUAGAUCGGCUCGUGCAAUGCUCUAUAAGUAUAGUGAUUUGUGGAUUUUAGUUCGGGAGUAAUUAUGUGGGUGUUUAUUUGAUUUAUAUGCAAUUUGAGCUCAAAUUAAAUUGCUAGUUUGCAUAUCUAUAGGUGUGGUUAGCUUAGUAUAGUCCCCGUCCUAAGCAUGGUCGAUCGCCCGCACCGUCCCGUCGCCGUCGACACCACAUUGGUGAGCCCCUUGUUCUUAUCUUUUUUUACAAAAAAGAUCUUAUUUGUAUGAUUUAGAUAGUUACUUGUAUAAUUUUCAUACUUGUAUGAUUGUUUGUUAUACAUAGUACCAUGAUUUUGAUAUCCGUGCCUAUCGGCCCUCGUCCAGUUUAUGAUUCGGAUGUGGUAUAUUCUCGAGAAGUUAAAUUUAAUUGAAAAAAUGAGGAUUUGAAAGGAAAAUUGAAAAGAGUUGAAGAAGAGAAGAUGAUAUCGGAGUUGUACGUUGUCGAUGUCGUCGAUGAUCACAAGAUCAAGAUGGAUGCAAUGCGCUUGAAGAUUAGAAGGAUUAGAAAAUAUGCCCUUAAUAAAGAGGCUUGAUAUCACUUUGGUGUUGGAUCAAUUGUUACCUUAGUUGCGAUCUUGGUCGCAUUUGUUGUUGCAUUUAAAUGCUUUAGCUAGAAACUCUUCUAUGUUGUUUUAUGAGAAUAAGUGUGAAUGAACAUUAUGUGUGAACUUGUAUUAAUUUGGUCUUUUCGGUCUUGUGUAAUGAAGAUGAACCGACAAUGGAUGUACGAUGACCGACGCUCUCCCCAGUUCAUUAAUGGCUUGCAGAGUUUUCUGCGUACGGCUGAGGCAAACUAGCGGGAUGGUUUUAUGUGUUGUUCAUGUGGUGUCUGUAAGAAUGAUAAAAAUUACUCUAAGUCAAGAGUCAUUCACGUCCACGUGUUUGCGUCCGGUUUCAUGUCCGGCUAUAACUGUUGGACCAAGCACGGAGAAAGAGAGGUUCUAAUGGAAGAGAAUGAAGAAGAUGAUGAUGACGGCUAUCCUUCGUUCCCUGAAUACGAUGGUACUACAAUGGGGGAAGAAGCUGAAGUAGAGGCACCAGAUGAGCCCGUUGAUGAUCUUGGUCGGGCCAUUGUUGAUGCAAAGAGAAAUUGUGCAAGUGAAAAGGAGAAGCUGAUGUUGCACCACAUGUUAGAGGAUCACAAGAAAUUGUUGUGCCCAAAUUGCAAAGAUGACAAGAAGAAGUUGGAUACCACACUGGAAUUGCCGCAUUGGAAGGCAGAGAAUGGUGUAUCUGACAAGUGUUUUAAAAAGUUGCUGAAAUUGUUAAAGAAGAUGCUUCUAGAGGACAACGAAUUGCCCGACAGUACGUACGAAGCAAAGAAGACUAUCUGCCCGCUAGGAUUAGAGGUGUAAAAUAUACAUGAAUGCCCUAAUGACUGCAUCCUGUACCGUGGUGAGCAGUGCGAGAAUUUGAAUGCAUGCCCGGUAUGCGGUGCCGAGCACUAUAAGAUCGGCCGCGAAGACCCUGGUGACCAUGUUGAGGUCCAACGCCUCAGAAAGAGGAUUCCUCCUAAGGUGAUGUGGUAUGCUCCUAUAAUACCACGGUUGAAACGUUUGUUCCAAAACAAAGAGCAUGCCAAGUUGAUGCGAUGGCACAAAGACGAACGUAAGAAAUACGGGAUGCUGAGAGUAGCCGUAGAUGAGUCGGAGUUGGGGAAAUCGAGAGAGAGAGUAGCCGGACUUUGCAAAUGACCCAAAGAACUAUUGAUUUGGUUUAAGUGCAGAUGACAUUAAUCAUGUUGACGAACAGAGUGGCAAUCAUAACACCUGGCCGGUCACUCUAUGUAUCUAUAACCUUCCUCCUUAGUUGUGCACGAAGCAAAAGUUCAUUAUGCUCUAUUUAGUUCUGUGGAUUACUGACAUGACUUCUCAGCUCAUUGGCUUGCUCUUUUCUCUAGUGAUUAAGAAGCCCCAAAUAAAUUAACCUGUAUUUCAUAUAUAUGCUCUAUUUACUUCUGUGGACAACUAUGUUGGACCCAUGAUGAUUCUUCGAAAUUUUAAUUACAAUCAAUAAUUAGAGCGGCUCAAGACAUAUAUCGUCCUUAUCGUAUGCCCCCUAGUGGUAAUUUGAACUAACUUAGCUAGAGAGUCUCCCCGAGUGAGGAAUACUGAUUACAUUUAAAAGUAGUGGAUGAUCAGAGGCUUACUAGUUCGAUAAAGCAGAAUUAAUUAAGAGUGAUGCACACAUUAUUUCAAAUGUUUAAACAAAAAUGACAGAGGUUGAGCAGCCAUAUACACAUUCAAACAGUUCAGGAAUUGACUGAUCGGUUGCCGGCUGGGUUCAACAUGUCAUGAUUGAUUAAUCUAAGAGGCUUGCACGAGAUAACAAAUUAAUACUACUACUCCGUUGCCAAAUCUGAUUACCCAUUCCAAGAACUCAGGUUUAUGUAUAACACUGGCCACUUAAGCAUGAGCUUGUUUGCGUCUAGCUAUGUACUGUCGCCGUUAUUACGUAAUCUAUCCACCUCACUUUUUAUGGAGCCUUUGCUGCGCAAUCCAUUUUUUUAUGUUGCUAGCCUAUAUAUCGUACUUAUGACCUCCAUUUCGAAAAAAAAAAUAUUCCUUAUGGCCUCAUGACGUGAGCAUGUGAGGAUUGUCAGCAUAAAAAUGAAACCGCCACCGGCCGACGAUCGCCGGAGACAAGGAAGAAGAGGUGGAAGACGAACAAGGUGAUUUUGCGGGGCCACAAACACCCAGCCGCACGAACGACUUUUUCUCUUUUUCACCUCGAGCACGCACUCGAUCAUCUUGCCGCAGUACACACAGGGGGGUGUUUAUAUGCGGGUGCACAGACACGCCGCGCCGCACUCCAACGCUCCCCACUCCCACGUUCCUCGCGCUCCGCAGCUCGCGUGCCCGGUGCGCACACACGUACACAACGCGGCUGGGUCUCGCGCCUGGACGUGGUCACCACUGCGUCUAUUGCGCUAACUAACACACACCUGCACCCACUCACACACAUGAGAGCCUGCUUCGCCAAACGUUGUCGUCGUCGUCGCUGCCCCCGCCAGACGUCGUAGUCGCCCACCGCCAUGAGAGCCUGGUUCGCCGCUGCCGCCGCCUGCCGAGGCUUCGGGCAGUCGCGUUUAAAGUCGCCCCGCUGCCCAUAGUUAUACCAGCGCCCGCGCCUCUUCAUCCUGCCGCCCGAUACUGUGUUGGCCGUGCCGUCGUCGUCGAAGCCGCCGCUCCGCUGCCACUGGCGCGCCGCCCAUUGCGCCUCUGUGAGCAUCAACUGCCUAUCCGCUCGCUCGCCUCCGGCCUGCGUGCGGCGCCGUGUCCUCUCUUCGAAUGCUUUUAGAUACUCGAGAGCCUCGUCAAACGUCAUCGCUUCCACGCCGCAGAACCAACACUCACUACUGUUACAGGUUAGCUGUAGCGUUGUAGCGCUACUGCUAGGCUUUUCUCUAGUAGAGUGCCCGUGAUUUCCUGGAAUAGGAAUUAAAUGACAUUCCGGCAAAACAUAGGCCACGUUACUAAUGCUUAGGAUUCACUUUAAGUCUGUCGGAGCUCCUUUGUGAGGAAUCCCAACUGUUUUCAUGGGGAUCAUUUCCUCUUCCUCCGCUUUGUAUUAUAUACCUUGAUAUAAUGCACGAGAGAGGGAGAGGAAGUGACCAUCACCAGUGGUUGAAAUAUUGGAUAAAGAAUCCCGACUGUUCUCGUGUGGGUCGGUUCCUCCUUCUUCCCCAUGUGCUAUAUAUAUUCGUAAUGCAUGCGGGGACGAAGGGAGGAGAAGCUAGCAUCGACGGUCCGAAUAUUAUUGUGAGGGUAUACACCAUCAUAUUAAUGUGAGGGAAUGCCCAACAUAUACACCAUGUAAUAUGAGAGUUUUUCAAGAAAACCUCGACCGACCGAAAUUCAACCCAUGCUGAAUAAUGAUUUGUGUGGGUGAACUGCUGGUAUAAUUGUGGUAGAUUUUUAAUCUUUGACUCAUGAACACAUGAAAUGUUUGAUGGCGAAGGGAUCAAUGAGUGCGUUCACUGCACCGACAACAGUGGUCUGUGCGACCGUUAUCCUUGCUUAGACAAUGGUAGGUACUUCAUUGUCACGCUAAAGGAGGCGUUCCGAAUUUCCACGGUAUGUAACAGCGACAUGCAUUUUCUUGUAAUAAAGCAUGACGUGUUUUUUUUUGCUUUAACCUGUAAUUUUCUUUUCUAAAUUUGACUAGUGCACUACUUGCAACGCAAGACUAUAUGUCUUGGGCAAGCUUUAUUCCGAAGUUAAGGAGAGUACAUAUACUAAGAUAGCUCGUCUAAGGACAGAAAAAUUCACUUUCGUUAUAAAGCCCUUGAAGGGAGCAGAUGACAUAUAUUUUGGUUGUUACAGUCGGGGAGCACUAUGCAAGGCAUAUGGUUUCAGAAGGGCAUGCAAAUAACCUUCAAUCUUAGUCAUGAAGAUGAUCAUGAAAAUAAUAUCAAAAUUUUGGUGCAUGUGGAUCACAUGACUCCAGUUCUACCUCCAUGUGAGUUUGUCAACAAAUUUGUCAAGUAGUUCAUAUUUUUCAUUGAAAAACAUUUCGUACUCAUCCCUACUUAACUAGUUUAUUUUUAAUUAUCUGUUUAUUUCUUUUCUUCAAAAAAGUCUCGAAAGAUAGUAGACCGGACCUACUACAGUCAUGGCUUCGAUCUCACUUGGUUGGAGAAAAAUCAUCUGAUCUCAUUUAUUAAUGAUGUUGAUAAUUUAAAGACCAAUUAUCAAAUUGGUGAAAGUUAUUCUCGAUACAUGCCACUAAUGCACAAGUUGAACUCUGGUGACAUAUGUGCAGAUAGCAUGGUAUGUCUUUUUACUAUUGUGUCAUUAGUCCAUCUUAUGCAUACAUAUUUUUUCCUUAAGAAAAAAUAGAUUUCUAACUAGGUUAUUAUUAUGUUCUUUAGCCAGAGCUUGUGCCUCACCUGAUGUUUCUCAAAGGUCAUUUGGAUAUCAUCAGCUUACAACCACUUCUCCCUACGUGUUUCCACAAAGCAUACUCGGUUUCUAUAAGGGAAGAAACCCUAAAAAUCAAAAUAUUUAGCAACAUAAUGAAAGACGACAAACAACCACUUGUCGGAUACGAAAAGGAUUUUCACAGGUCACAAGUCAGAGAUACGUGGAUAUCUAUUCUUCACAAUUGACAGGGAGAAGAUUACCUCUUUUAUAGUAUUUUACCCUGGAGAGAGUAGUAGAUUGUACCUGGGAGUGAAUAGUAUGUGCUAGAGAGGACCUUUUGUAGUUUAUUUCAUUGUGCAGUAUUAUUAAGUUGGCAUGACUAAAACGAUGAUGAGUUGUUAGAUGAUUAACAUUAUGAUGAGUUGUUAGACUAUUAAGAUGAUGAUAAGUUGUUAUGUGAGUAAGGAUGAUGAGUUAUUAUAUGACAUAGAUCAGAUUAAAGUUGAUGGGUGCAAGAAUUAGUAGGAAAAUAUGACGUUUACAUUGGCACACAAGUGUUCAUCGCCUGCUUGUCUUGAACUGUAAACUCCUAGAAACCUCCCUUGGAACACUACAUACCACUUCUCCUUGCAUGACAACAGAGCAAUAAUUCAGGCAGCAAGCAGUAGAGAGCACUAUACAUGUAACAUAAGAAUGCAUGCCUCAUCAUAUGGCAUUCCAAGUUCAUCCUAACACUACUAUGGUGCCAACAUACCACCAAAUCCAAAAGAGGGUGUUAUCCUACCACCUCUAGUUCAUCAUCCACAUGAGGGGUUAAUACAUACCACCUCAAUAAAAUAUGCAUGCCAGCAUCAAGAGUUUAUCAACCCAACUACCACAAAAUAUACAUCAUCGACAUCGCCAUCACCAUAGCCUUGAAGGAUCAUGCACAUAGUCACCACCACCACACAAAACAUCACUAGUAGUAGUGCUUGCUCAGCCCGAUCCUGAGCAAGAGCACCAAGUGGUCGUCUGCCAUGGCAACAAAUCUAACACCAUGAGCCAUGUUGUCCCGACAACCUAGUGUUUACGCGACAUUUAAUAUGCCAUCACGUUGAUUUCACUAGGAAAAAUAAAUUGAUCUAGACAACAAAUUGCUAAUUUAAUAUGCAUUCAUUUUGUUCACGCAAUCAAGACAAAUGACACUAUUUAUACAUAAUUUACAUAUGGUCCUCAUCCUAAAUUUUGAACUUCAUUUAAUAAACAUAAUGACCAAAUAUAUAGGUUUAUCGAAACGACCAUAUAUAAGAGUAUUCCAUUUUGACCUGUACUCCACUCCACUAACAGAGACGAGCAUGUGUUUUGAUUGAUCUCAAAUUCAGAUAUGAAGCACACAGGGCAGUUUUGUUUUAGAAAAGGAGGCGUAGCCCUGACCUCUGCAUCGAGAGAACACAUGGCAGUUGAACGCAGAAAUUUCUACAACAAAUGUAAAGAAGAUACUGUAGAGCUUGGGCGACGCGGGCUUGGUCAGCGAUGUCGACUCGGUGUCUGCAAACCUAUUGUUUCGAAUUAAUAGUGUUUGAAUGUUAGAUUAUUUGUGUGAAGAGUAGCGAAAGCAUUACCACUGAGUAGUAUCAAAGUUGUAAGCGGACUUCUAUAUGUGCAAACCUGUGGUAAUUGAACUAAUGUGCAACAGCCUCUCCACCCUAGUUCUCCACAAAAUGUUUGAUCUUCUUUGUCAAUCGUGCCUUUCAAUAAUCGAAAUAAUCUAGUAAACCUAUGUACACCCAUAACAAUACUGACUAGCUAGGGUGAAUAAUGAGUGGACUGUGCAGUAAAGAAAACACACGAACAUAUAUAACAGCUUUCCAUUAUGGAAGAGAUAACUAAAUUGUUCAGAAGCUUCAGGCAAUAAUGAAUAGCAAGUAAUUAGUAAUACUCUGCAAGAUUCAGGCAAUGAAUUAGUGUUGAAAGUGAAAAUAUAAGAGAGAAAUGACUAAAAAUUGUUAAAAAGCUUUAGACAGUCUAUAACGAAAGCAAGAACCGUCGGCCCACCAUACCUCAUGGCCUUGGACUCCGCCUCCUCGACUUGGAUUUAAACUGUGAACAGAGAACCAUCGACUAGGGACAUCUUGAUGUUCCCUGUUUUACAAAGUUGAACAUCACAUGGAGAUAAUAUUAAGAAUAGACAAGUUUCGUACAAACUUCACAAAAAAUGGAAUCAGCAUGUGGACAUUUAACACUGGCAACAUUAAGAACUUGAGUUGCAGCAAGAAUUUUCUGUAACGGGUCAAAAGGACUAGAGAACCACCUUCAAAACAUUCCAGGCAUCUUCCCUUGCUUUUCAAGAUUCAACCAGCGGUGACAUGAUGGAUUGAAUCGGGAAGGAAAUAGAAGGGGCUGAACUUCCAUUGUUGGAAUUGGGCUUUUGUGUCCGCCACAGAGUUGGGGCGUACUUGAAGCUCCCUACGGCUACCCGAGGAUAAGUUCAAAAUCUUGGUAUGGAAAAGUUUGCCUGCAUCCGGUUUCCAAAAUGACAGAUCCGAGCAACAUCUACUACCAGUGUACUGAGGAACAGUCACCACACUCACCGGCGGGGUAGAGGCAGCCGUGGUGGGAAGCCUGCCCGUGCUCGUCAGCUUGAGGGCCGUGGAGAAGAGGAGCGUGCCGCCGUGUGGUGGGGGGCUGGCCCUGAGAUGGCAAAGGAGCCAAGAAGCAUCGUUUCCUCUCGCCCUUACCGUCACUGUGCUCCCAUCAAGAUGGAUAUGACACUCAGUUCUCGUUGCAAGAUCUGGUGCUGGAGAUGAAGGCGGAGGCGACCUUGACAUGGAGGAGAGGUUGGACACGGGUGGAUGGAUCGGUCGAUAGAGGAGGGGGUCGGAGGUGGUGGUGGUGGGGAUGAGGGCUAGGCCUGGGAGAAGGGAUGUCCAAGGGUGGAUGGAGCGCUUGAGGGAGGAGGGGGUCGGCGGCGGCGUUGGCUUGGUACUAGAAGGGAUCGAUUUGGGGAAGAAGUUUUAUUUUGGGAGGGCAGGGGCCGGUGGGGUGGGGAAGAACCUAGCAAUUCAACUUCUCCCGACAAUUCACCUGUGAGUAAGUGUUUCUACCGGCAGUAUCACGAUUCCCGGAAGAUAGUUUGCCCCUGAUCAUGUAUUUUUCCCUGUAGUUAAUUGCCCGAAAUUAAGAGUUGUGGUGUAGUGUCAGUUCCAUCAAGGUUGAUGAUCUCUGAAUCAUGGGUUAUUGGAUACUCAGGCAUAGGCCAACUCAGGCAUAGGCCAAUCGUGCGACUCACCGAAGCCUUGGACAUGCUUGCAGGUUGCUAGCUCAACAAAGAAUAUUUUAUGCAUCUCGUUGUGAUUCUAGAUGGGUGUGUUGAGGACGCGCCGGUGUCCUUCGAGUGAGCUUAAGAAACCCAAGAACAUUAGUAGUUGUGAUUGGCAUUGUAUAUAGGAUUAAACAGAUGGUUUAAGAGCUAACCGCGGUGUGGAUUUGGUAGUGCGCUGCCUACAAAAGGAUCGCGCAGGUCUCUUGACCCCAUGAUGCAUCGCUCGGGUCUUAGAGCUUCGACGCUAUGAUCCACCUCGAUCUUCACUUCCUGAUGUGGUUUUAUACCUGGGUCGAGGUGACCUCCUGCCCACUAAACUCGAACACCUGCUUUGCAACAUCGUUCAAGUGCACAUACUUGAAGCAUUGUCAAUCCACACCCAACAGGUUAUGAUUUCACACAUCUUAUUAAUCAUGGAUGUCAACACGAACGACUGCCAUGUCAUGGACCUCCACAACCUCCUCUUUUCCUUCGUGUCUACCUUUUGAGUAGAAGCGUGAAGGGGCAGCAUUGGGCUGAGCCAACACAAAUGGUGAAAUUGUAGAAGACCCCUCAAAAGGAUCCGAAUUAGGAAACAUCGAGUCAUUGGUGGGAGUCUGGGAGUCCUCGACAUAGGGCACCACAAACUAGCUCUCGGACACGAGAAGGGCCUGACUAAGUUCUUGCUUUCUCAUCGACGGUAGGAACGAACACUAAACAUGGACAAUAUGGAAGAACACUACAUGUGGAGAUUAUGAACGAGCACAACACGUGUGGAGACGAAUGAUCUAGUUCAACACAUCAGCUCAAAUCAUGACAAGAGUUCAAACAAUUAUGAAACAUGCUUGCAUACUAGCAUAUUAAACAUCAAGCAUACUACCAAUCCAUCAUGAUUAGCUAUCAAUCCUGGCCGACAUGGAAAAACCUCCUAGCAUGUUACAUCACUACUAGCUACCAAACCAUCACAUGCACAUCGAUUGAUGAUGUACAGUGCUACAAGAAGGUCACAAAUCUAACCAUACCACAUACUCAUGGAUCUAACCAGAAUGAGUAUAGAGAAGGAGGUGAUUAAACUCAUAGGCUCGAUCGAAGCAAGGUGAAGGAGACAUGAAACACGUCGGAGAAGAGAAGGACUCAAAUCGCCACGCCGUCAACCACUGGCUCGAGUACGAGCGUUGAUUACCUAGUCGACAAUGUCGAUCCACGCCUGAGGGAAAGCUCGAGGGGGGUGGGGAAUGGUGGCGGGAGUUUUGGUGGACUGGUGAGGCUGGUUAUAUAGGGUGAUCGAUUCAUAGGCAGGUGACAUCAAUUCCUCCUUCCACUUUCUAGGAGACGUGUACGAGCUCGCGCCAUCUUCGUCGAUGCAGAAGUUUAGGUUCGCAUUUCCCUCCCUUGCAUCGCUCGAGCCUGGCUCGGUGUCAACGGCUGAAUCGGACGUUCCUAGCGGGCCUAGCUGGGAGGUGCUUUAAGUUUCGUGCUAUGAAAUAAUCUCAUGCAGCCCAACAAACCAAAGGACCCAUUUUAUUUCCGUGUGGGCUUGGCUGGGCUUGGUGCGGGCUACCAAACGCGUCAAUGGUGCUUCAUACACUUGUAGCACAAGUUGUUUUAUUCUCCUUUGUUGGUGCAACUGUAUGUGUAGAUCCAGAUGUAGUCAAACUGAGAUCUUGGGCUUGUGUCAAUAUUUUUUUUAGAAAAGGAGGUUAAGACCCCCGGCCACUGCAUCAAUCGAUGCAUACAACCAUCUUUAUUACUUAUCCAACAAAGGUCUGACAAGAACAUACAUCAAGCCACCCGAAACCCCGACUCACACCUACAAAACGCCAUAAUGUGGAGUGCUCUCACUCCCCGUAUCUAAAACCGGUGUCGUCGCCGAUCCAUCCACAUAACGUACCGAAACUAAGAGCCGGAGCAGCAGACCUAAAGUGUACACCACAUGCACAUGUUUUAGAAGCCGCCAUCAUCAUCAAACCGCUGACCCAUCUUCAGGAGAGAAAUCCGCAUCAUCCUUGCCAGUCCGACCAUCCGUCGACGCCACCACGGCGUCCAACGGCACCACCUCCCUGCGUCCGUCCAUCCAGACGCGAAGACUCUAUAAGAUAUGUCGUGCGUAGCACCUGUCGAACAGGCAUGACAAAACGUAGCACCUGUCGGCCAGGCAUGACCUGACAUCACCACCGAAGCUCCGUGCAGGACGAAGACGCUCCACCUCCUGCCUGUGUAUUCCAGCGCUGCUCCACAAACGAUGCUCCCUAGAGAGGAAGGACACCGCAAUGCCUCCAUCGUCCGAUUUGGAGUUUCCCCUGGAGGAGCACGAGUGGAUCGACAGUAGUUACAAGACGAAGCCUUCAUCAAGGUAACAGCGCAGAAUGCCGCCAUCGUCCAUCGUCGGCUCGGUUUUCACCAACAACUAUGUCUCCCCGACUCACAGCGAGUACCGGAUCCUGCGACGAGCCCGGUCACGGGAUCCCAAUAUCCGCCGUCACCAAUGCCGUCACAAAGACCCACCACCUGGCCCGUCAUCCCCGGCGGAGGGGACGCCGCCACCACCAUGGUUGGAUCCGGGUUAUCCAUCGCCGUCGCCACCGCCAAGACCGGAUCCGCGCUGAACGUCGCCGCUGCCACCGCCAUCGGUCACGCCCAGCCCCACCUUCAUCUUCUAGCCACGUUCAGCCGACCGGCAUGCCACGCCCAGCAAAUCUCCACCCGCGCCGCCACGCGCCGUCGCCGAGAGCUGCUGCGCCGCCGUGCCUUGGAUCCGCAUGACGCCGUCGCCGAAGCCGCCGUCCCGAACCGCACGACAUCGAACGAGGAGAAGGGAAAUCCCCGCCGCCGGCUACGCUGACCAGAUCGGUGGUGGCGAGGGAGGGAGCUGGAGCUGGAGCUGGGGUACGCCUCUAGAUUCGCUUGUGUCAAUAACUACCCUGCGCGUAUUUUUAAAGUUAAAAUAAACUGUUAUAAACGCUCCUAAAAUGGUUGUUUAUGUAAAUCACACAAUUCACAAUUAAUGUCUAAUGCAUCGGUUGUCGACUAUCUUCAUCAUAUGUUGUGAUUAAAUUUUUGUUACAGCCGUGCACGCCCCACAUCACAAAAUCAUGGUAUUGCUUCGCUGGUAUACUCUUUACAGAACUUCAAUGCAUGUUUUUCAUCCCAGCUCUUAAAGAGUCCCAACACCUUAUCCAUAAGCAUGGAUAGGUAUCAUCCACCAUCAUUAUCUUCAUUUAUUCAUCUUACUUUUCAUGAAUACAUCACUCGUACAUCUACCAUACAAGCUAGUCUUAAGAGAUGAUACAAACUUUCACACCACCCUGCAUAUACAAAUACUUUCACCUCCAAAGCAGCUAUAGAUGGAUUUUCUUAGUUUUCACCCAAAUACCAGCAACACCUCUUCCUCGCUCACUUGGAUUCCCGUACAUUAAUGGGCAUAAGAGGCAUCAGGAAGCUCUCAAAAGUUGUGGUCGAUUAUGUAUCCUCCAAUCUUUCUAGCCCUAUAUAGUGAUCUUAUCUGAAUCAGACACCAUCCCGACAACAUCGAGGAGGAGCAAGUGCACUUAAAACCACCCAAGAAUCCAUCUGACGGUGGGAAGCACAUGACGCACCGAGGCAGACAAGGUAUACCAUGAUGAGGACCAGAAAGACAGAAAACGGAGCGAUCAUCACCACCUUCCCCAUACGUAAUCACUACGGUGGCUUCCCAGCUAAUUCCGUGGUUAGACCAAGUAGGAAGCCAAACAAUUUUGAACUGUGUGAGUGUUCACAUAUGACGGGACUCGAGACUAUUUAUUUACUCCAACCUUCAAUGAUUUAUUCAAGGCAAUUUGUGGCAAAUUACUCCCGCCGCAGCAGAAAAUACUGAAAUGUUAAGAGUUAAAUACUAGCAAUGUGUCACGGACAUAUUGGCCCACCCUUUAGCAUCAGAGAUAUUGUUCAUAUUAGAUACAGAUUGACACAAUCACAUCAAACUGUAACGUAACUAAACAUGUACCUGAACUAUUUCGGUGAUCAAAAUAUUAGUGGGCUCUUCGUACAAAACUCAGCCCUUGAUUUGUGGAUACUCUAAACUACAGAAGGUUCUCAAGUUAUCUCAUCGUGCUGCAUAGCAGUCAUAGUUGUAGUUGUUGCCUGCCACAUUGACACAGAGGAAUACUAGUUUACAACACCAACAUGUACCACCCGUGAACAGUAGGGGUGGGCGUUUCGGUUUCUAUUCGAAUUCGGUUUACAAAACUAAAAACCGAAAAUGCCAACAUAAAAAAGAAAACCAAAAAUUCGGUUAACUGAUUAAUUCGGUGUGGUAUUCGGUUAAUACGGAAUGCCCCUGGACGCUACUAAUUAUGGUCAGAGCACCCUCUUAUAUAUAUAGCCUCAAGUCUCCACCUUUUCUCAUCAGCCAGCCGAUGUGGGACUAAAGUCUUCCUGCUAGACGCUCGCGCGCCCCCUGCUUUUUCUAUCGAAGAGUGACACGGUCACACAAAUAUAUUCAUGCUAGAGGCAAACAAACCAAUGUCACACAAAAUCUAUCGCGUUUAUAUUUUGUAAGCCGCAGUCAGGAUUGUUUCAGUUGGUGACAACACCUACAUUAUAAAAAUAUCGUUUUAGUUGUUGGAGCUCAUGUGAAGCGUUGAUCUAUGAUCUACCAUCACCCGACUAAUUUAGAGCAUUAACAGCUAGACAUAGCAAAUAUGACCCCAUAAACGUCCGCGGACGCCUCCGAUCAGUGAUCGCGCGUAUCCCCUAUUUGUUCGUCCGUGCAGCCGUCCUCCUCAUUUUUUUCUCAUAUGUACGAUCACUUGCACAUGAUUCGUGGAGAGGAAGAAAGAGAAAGAAAAGAAUGAACAAAGAUGAUUCUCUGCUUUUCUUUCAUGCAACUAGAGAUUAUGCUAUGAUUGUCAAGGAUGUUUUUAGCACUUAUGCUUCAGCUACGGGUCAACUCCUAAACUCCUCGAAGUGUUCCAUCCUCUUUGCUGACAAUUGUCCCAGUCAAGUUGUUGAUGAGGUAAAACAUAUACUGGGCAUGACGCAACAACAAUUUGAACCUAAGUACAUGGGGCUCCCGGUUUCAGAAGGACGAAUGCAUAAAGGUCGUUUUGAGUAUUUGCAUUUCAGAUUGUGCAACCGUUUGGUUGAAUGGAGUAACUUCACUUUCAUUGAUCAUUAACAUGGAGUAUUUAUACAUGAUGUCCCGACUGUUCGGGAUGUCGGUUUACAGAAAAGGCGUCUGUAUAAGGCGUCGGUUUGUGGAGAGGCACCUGUUCGGAGUGAACAGGCGUCUAUACAGAAAAAGAUGCUUUGGGCACUAGUAACUGCUCGUGGCAGUUAGAUCUAAUCCUAACAAAUACGAACUCGACACACGAGUGUUUCUGGUGACAAACACCUCGCCGCAGAAACCGCGUUGUUUUUUUCUCUUUGUAUUCAUGACACACACACAAACAAGAGACUACAUGGAGACUAACUCGGCAAACACAGUGACUACAUGGAGACUCACUCCUCCUCAAGAUGAGCGCACACACGCACCUGGAGACCACAUCUCUCCUCAGGCCCCACGCUGUACACGAAUUAGCCUAACCGCAUGCACGUUUGAGCAACUACUCCCUCGAAUCUCUUCACGAUCAGCAAGACUCGGCUGUGCAGCUAACAAGCAUGCAUGCAGCAGCACAACGGAUCGGCCGCCACUCACGCACGAACGUGACUCGGCCAGCUCGCUGUACGACGCCUUCGUCAAGAUUAGCGAUCCUGAACACAAAUUCAUGGCAAGCAUUAUGGCUCCUCGACAUGUCACUUUCCUUACUUUUCACUUUCUGUUAGACUUUUAAAUUCUGUGAUGUUUGUUGUAAUCAGGUUGUGUCCUAAGCCUUUGUGUUCCAACUGGCACUAACCCUAGCCACCUGCUUCCUCAAACUGGAAUGAAUCAUCUCCCCAAGUUUGCUAAAUUCAAGUGAUUUUACUGAAUUUUCUCUGAUGAAAACAGACAUCUUGGCUAGGUCCUGUUAGCAUCUUGGCGAACUUACAGUAAAGAUUUAGGGGACUAAAUAUAACAUUUUUCACUUAUGUUUGCAAUAUGCAGUGUGAAAAGACAAGGGACUAUCUAAUUUACAUCGAAAAAUACCAAUCAAACGGGACGGGAAGAUGAAUCGGUGAUCGCUAUCACCUCACCUCCAUGCACGAGGCGACUAGCGGGGCGCCUCCUGUGGAGGCUCGCGAGGCGACCGGAGUACCGGCAUCUAGCGAGGCGAUCGGAGGACCGGCGUCUCGCGUCCAGGGUUCUGAGUUCGACGAUGAGAUCCAGGAGAUCUUUCCACGGGUGUCUACUGCUAGUGGCGGGGUCGAGUGCUGUUUUGCCAGCGGCAAGCUUGGUCAGAUCCGCGGUGGGUCUCGGACAGAUCAUCCUCAUCGCCGGUGGGAGGUUCUCUUCCGAGAUUCGUCCACAGAUUCUCUAGAAGACAGGCAAGGGUUCAUUAUUCUACACUUAGAGUCUAUGUGGGCUACCAUUAGAGAUGAAGAAGGAGACAUUCUGGCGGGGCGGUAUCUCCAAAAGGAAGAAUUCCCCAAGGCGGGACAGAUCCUUAUCAUCGAUGGUUACCGUUUGUUAGUGCAGGAGCAGUCGAAGAUAGGGGCCCAGAUCAAGGAUUCGGUAAGUGUUCCUUCGCAUCCUAUUCGUUUCGGUGGUAGGUUUUGGGUUCUUGCCGACCAGGAUGAAGAGCUGGAUGAGGAGCUGGGGGAAGGUGACGUGCUGGCGGAGGUGUCGCCGAUAUCCCCGUAUACCCCUUCUUCGACCACGGCGAUGCUACAAGAGCGCAAGGUCCGACGAGACCCCAUCCUUGCGAGGAAGAAAACGGAGGCGUCUUCUCGGAAGCCGUGGAUUGGGCCGAUUCCAAAGGUAAGCCGACGGCCUAUCUCCCUUGUUGAUUUCUUCAAGCCAGACUGCUGGAUCAAAUGCACGAAGAACAAACCAAAGGCAACCACCGUUCUUCGGCCGACAGAGCCGCCGGUGAUCGCGGAAUACACGAGUGAUUCCAGGGCGAUAGUUACGGAGUCCCUGUGGGAUUCAAAGGAAAAGUUUUUGAAUGCUGCAAUGACGGCUGUUGGGCCUGAUGCGCUAGCAAACUACGACGGGCUCUUUUCUGCCUAAAGCUGGGUAUACGGCCCAUGAUUUAAUAUGUUUACAGCCACAAUCCGACCUGGACUCGAUGACUCUUGGGUAUAUCGAUCCGGAAGUACCAGUCCGGAUCGAUGCGUCUUCUACUGCGACCGAGCCUGGCUUAGAUACAUCGUCGCUCCUUCUCGAUCGUCAGGUUCCUCCACAGUCGCCAGAAGCUAGGUUUCGACAGCAAGAACCUAGGGUUCGUCCAAAGCCUGGCUUCCCAAGGUUAGGGACUGGGAGGGCAGCUAGGGUGCCGCAUCAUACUGCUUCGGCGUGGCUAGCCAUGGCGGGGCGUGGCUCCAAGUAUACUGCUACCAGUCGGCAUCCGGGGCAACAGUUGGGCUAGGGGAACCCACCCGUCGCUAAGACUACGGUGGCGUCCCCCGCGCAGGCCGGGUCCUCCCAGGCUGUUGCACCCGCCGGGAAGCCGCCCAGUGGUGCAUCUGGGCAGGCAAAGGAGUCCACCCAGGCGAACCGAUCACAUCGCGGCCGCUGGGGCGAUGACGGUGGUUACGGCUAUGGUGAUGGGCACUAUCGUGGGGGUUCAUGCAUCCUCGGGAGGCGGUCGUGGGUUUGCUUGGCAAAACAAUAUGGAGCUGCUUUUAAUGCACCUCCGGGCCAGUUUAUCCCGGGGCCUUCUGGACCUUCGUAUCCGAAGAGAGGAGGAUUUAGGCAGAAUUGGAUUGGCAGAGGGGGCGGGAGGAAGCCUAGACCUCUUGUUCCUACUCCUGAGCAGCCUGCUGAUCUCAAUGAUUCUGCCAUGGUGUCUAUGGCGGAAACAGCUAAGGAGGUAGCUGCUCCGCCUCCGGCUGAUCAGACCUUGGUGAGUGCCAAGGGUGACGGGGCAGAGAGACCCUCUAAGUGGGCUCGAAAGAAAAAGAAAAUGAUGUGCUAUCGGUGCAGUGAGACAGGGCAUUUUGUCUCUGAGUGUAAGGCCGAGCUUUGCAUGUAUUGCUUGAAGCCUACACAUGGUGCUGUUAAGUGCCCUCUUACGAUUGGGCCUAUGCCAGUCGUGACUAUCUAUGGUGUUUCUAGCCAAGAUUUGAUGUUUUUUGAGUCACCAGCCGCUACGGCUAAUGUUCAUGCUCCUGAUGCUGGCCUCAUGGGUACAGUGACGGUGACUCAUGGGGUGCUGACUGUGGAGCAGAUAGUGCAGCAACUUAAGGAGCUUGUUUCCAAUACCUUCAGAUGGGAACCUGUUUUGAUAGAUGAUAAUGUUUUCAAGGUUGUUUUCCCUACUAAGGAGGAUCUAGCUCGAUUGCUUAAGUUCGGUAUGUGCAGGGUUGCUAGCACGAGUAUUGUUCUUGAGUUUGAUGCCUGGAAGUGUGAAGAGCCUAAGGGGAGGCCUCUACCCCAGAUUUGGGUGCACUUUGCAGGAGCUCCUUCUAGAGCGACUAAUGAUUUUCAGGUUGCAUGGAAUCUGGGAUCGCUCAUUGGUAAAACUGAGGAGGUGGACAUGGUCUACACUAGAGCCAAAGGAGUUGCGAGAAUGUUGGUUAGUGUUCUUGAUAUUGAGCUUGUUCCAGAUGAGGUAAUUUGGACCUUUGAGGGGUUGCGGUAUACUCUCCAGCUGGAAAUCGAAAGCCCAACACUGUUUGAUGUACCUGACACAGAUAAAGAUACCCCCAUGACUGAUGGUGAUGAUGCGAGUGGCUCCAAAGAUAAUGCAGAGGGGUCCAAGGACACAGGUCCGACCGAAUACCCUAACCAGACAACUAGCUCGCAGCAAAAUCAGCCUAAUCUUACCUCAGGUACUGGCCCAAACAAGUUGGUUUCUGCUAUGCACCAGGAUUUACGAUUUGGCUCUUUUAAACCUGCAACCGCGCCGACAAAGUUGGGUUCUCGGGCGGGGUGCCAUGAGACUCUAGUUCGGCCUAGAAUGCCACACUUUUUGGGAAAGAAUCCUCGGUGCAACAAAGAAAGAGUGCAGUCUCAAUCUAUGUUGCAACCACUGUCUCUGGAGGAGUAUAUGGCGGGAGCAAAGGCAGCGAAUACUCAGCUUGGUUCGAUUGUUGCACCAGCGGAUGUACAGCCAGCUUUUAAUAGCAUGGGAGGAGUUACAGCGGAUGGGCUGGGUCACGGCGAACCUACUGGCCAGCUGGUCGUUCUACCCCAAGUUCCGUUCCUGCAUGGGGGCGCUGAUGAGGCCCCGGUUACGUGCAUGCAUGCUCACGCGGCUACGCAGGGCACGCAUGAGGAUGUUAGCGUUGGGGGUGGCAGCGACUCUACCGCACCACGACAUGAUGGUGCUCUUCUCCCUGUUCCAGCGGCUGCAGCGGCGGCUUGCGUCGGCACGCUGGCCAGCGCAGGAGGUGCCCAGCCGGGUUCCACCCUUUGUGCUGCUCAACCCGACGACAUUUCUGAGGUGGUUGCCGUCUCUAUGGAGGGUCCAGUUUGUAUGCCCAUGGCAGGUACGAAAUAUGUACCUACUACUGUUGCACCAGAGUAUGGACCGAUCUCGGUCGAUGAUGUCAUAGCAUUCGGAGGUGUUCCCAAUCCGAUGGGUCCGGAUAGACGAGCUAGUCAACGGGUACAGUCUCAGCCAGAUGUGGAUGACCUGCAGAUUGGACGGGCGAUGCAUGUGGCCAAAAUGAAGGAGGUUCAGAAUUCAACAGGUAUGAAUUUUAAUACUGAACAUUCUAUUCUUCAUUUUACACUACAAGAGAUUUUAGAUAAUGCUACGGCAGUGGGGGUGACUUUGGGUGAGACUAGGCAACAAGUUUCAAAAUCUAUCAAUGACUUAUUAGACUUAGAAGUUGAUAGGGCUUUGGAUAUUAUUCGAAACUUAGCGGCGGUUCGUCCUAUGAAUGAUAAGGAGAUAUCUGAUAUGGGGGGAUUGAAUUUGCUAUGUGAAAACUUAGUCCCAGAGGAGGAGUUUAAACAGUCGCAAGUAGCUUUCGAUGAUUCGAACAUAUCUACUACUCAUCUUAAUGAUUCGGCCAAAGAUAUUCAUGGUUAUAUGGACCAGGAGUAUGCUUCGGAUAAGCCUAAGCGCAAUUCGAAACGAAGAGUUUAUCCAGUUUCUGCUGUUCGUAGGAGUGCUAGAUUCAGGACUGCUAAACUUUUUUUAUGAUGAAAUAUGAGAGGACUUUUUUGGAAUAGCAGAGGUCUCAGAGACUUGGCUAAAAUUAGGUUCCUUGCAGAAUCAACGUUACAACAUAGUCUUGACUUCAUCGCGUUGAUGGAGACGGGGCGGGAAAACUUCACAUCGCAUUUUCUUAACUCCCUUUCCAGAGGAGUGGAAUUUGAAUGGCAUUGUCUCCCUCCAAGUGGAAGGUCCGGAGGGAUCUUACUUGGGGUCCGAUGCAAUACACUUCAAGUGCGAGAAGUAAUAUUAGGAGACUUCACGGUAAAAUUUAGAAUUAGAAACAAGGAAGAUGGGUUUCAGUGGGCUCUAGUAGCAGUCUAUGGUGUCGCUCAAACUGAGCACAAGCCAGCUUUCUUGGCUAAUCUGGUUAGAAUUUGCGAUGAAAAUCUACCACUAGUGGUGGGUGGUGAUUUCAAUAUCAUCAGGCGAGCUGAUGAGAAAAGCAAUGAUAAUUUUGAUGGUAGAUAGCCCUUUAUGUUUAAUACGAUCUUAGAGAGUCUGAAUCUACGGGAGACUGAACUCUCCGGUAGGAAAUAUACUUGGGCCAAUUCUCUACAUAACCAGACGUUUGAAAAAUUGGAUAGAGUACUAACUAGUGUUGACUGGGAGCAGAAGUUCCCUUUAGUCACAGUUUGUGCUAUGCAGAGGGCUAUAUCUGACCAUACCCCGCUAUUGUUAGAUUCUGGAAAUGCCACUCACAAAGGAAAAAAAGAUGCCUUCUCCUUUGAGUCCAGUUGGUUCACCCGUGAGGGAUUUUUGGACAUUAUUGCUAGAGAAUGGAGCAAACAUAUGGAUGGGACAUCUAGUGUCGACAUCUGGCAAAACAAGAUCCGACACCUUAGACAAUUCUUGAGAGGUUGGGCUAAGAAUGUGUCCGGACAGUAUAAAGAUGAGCAAGACCGAUUGCUUCACUUUAUAGAUGCCCUGGAUCGUAAGGCUGAGACCGGCAUGUUGGAUGAACAUGAAAGGUCGUCAAAGUAUGAGGCCGAAUAGAGGGUGCGAGUUCUCCUCAGGGAAGAGGAAAUGAAAUGGGUUGUCAGAGCCAAGGUUAGGGCAAUUGUCCAGGGGGACAACAACACAAAGUUUUUCCACUUGAUUGCAAAUGGCAAACAUAGGAAAAAUAAAAUCGUACAACUGGAGCAAGACGAGGGUACCAUAGUAGGGCAUGAGAACCUUAAACUUUAUAUCACAAAUUACUAUAAACGGUUGUUUGGUGCUCCAGAACAUAGCUUUGUGUCUAUGGACGAGCAUCAGACUGCGGACAUUCCUCAAGUUGGACAAGCCGACAAUGAGAGUCUCUCCGCACCAUUUCUAGAGAAAGAGGUGUUACAGGAAAUUGAGGGUAUGAAAAAUGGUAAAGCUCCUGGUCCAGACGGUUUUCCAGCUGAGUUUUAUAAACGUUGUUGGCAUAUUAUUAAGGCGGAUCUUAUGUCUAUGUUCCAUGAUUUGUAUUCUGGUCACCUUCAACUCUUUCAUCUUAAUUUCGGUACGAUUACGCUAUUACCGAAGAAAGAGGGUGCCUCCAGAAUUGAACAAUUUCGUCCUAUAUGUCGGCUCAAUGUGAGCUUUAAAAUUUUCACAAAGGUGGCAACGGAUAGGCUAACCAAGAUGGCACAUUCGGUCGUGCAAUCUUCGCAGACAACUUUUAUGCCUGGUAGGAAUAUUCUUGAAGGGGUUGUCGUACUACAUGAGAUCCUUCAUGAACUACACUCCAAGAAACUCAAUGGAGUUUUAUUUAAGGUUGAUUUCGAAAAGGCAUACGACAAAGUUAAAUGGUCUUUCCUGCAACAAACUCUAUGUAUGAAAGGGUUUGGCGACAUUUGGAGAAAGCAUGUAGAUUGUUUUAUAAAAAAAGGAAGUGUCGGUGUUAAAGUAAAUGAUGACGUCAGUCAUUUCUUUCAGACGCUUAAGGGACUUAGGCAAGGAGAUCCUAUGUCACCUAUUUUAUUUAACAUUGUUGCGGAUAUGUUGGCGCUAAUGAUCAGGAGGGCUAAUGACAAAAACUUAGUAGGGGGACUAGUACCUCAUCUAGUUGAUGGGGGUGUCUCGAUCUUACAAUAUGCGGGCGACACAAUCCUUUUCAUGGAACGUGAUCUCAAAAAGGCCAGAAACUUGAAACUCAUAUUAUGCUUAUUUGAACAGCUAUCUGGGUUGAAGAUUAAUUUUCACAAAAGUGAGCUUUUCUGCUUUGGGGAUGCACAAGCUGAACAACUCACGUAUUAUCAACUUUUUGGUUGUGAGGGUGGUAGGUUACCGUUCUCAUAUUUAGGAAUCCCCAUUCAUCACCGAAAGUUGACCAUCAAGGAGUGGAGAUGUAUCGAGGAUCGUUCUGAGAAAAAACUAAGCUGCUGGAAGGGCAAGCUAUUAUCCUACGGAGGACGAUUAGUUCUUGUCAACUCAGUGUUGACAAGUAUGCCAAUGUUUCUCCUAUCCUUUUUCCAAGUGCCUGUUGGGGUGCGGAAAAGGUUGGAUUUCUAUCGAUCUCGAUUUUUCUGGCAGAGCGACGAGGUCAAGACUAAAUAUAGACUUGCUAGAUGGGACAUUAUUUGUAGACCCAAGGAUCAGGGAGGUUUGGGGAUUGAAAAUCUAGAGGUCAAGAACAGAUGUCUGCUUAGCAAGUGGUUAUUCAGAUUGUCUGUCGAAUCGCAAGGGAUGUGGGUACAAAUUCUAAAUAACAAGUAUCUACAGCACAAAACCUUAGCCCAGGUCACUGCGCGACCGGGUGAUUCCCCUUCUUGAAAGGGUCUAAUGAGGACAAAGGCCGCUUUCUUUCACAGAACUAGAUUCGUCAUUGAAAAUGGUGAAAGUACUAGAUUCUGGGAAGAUACUUGGUUAGGAGCGCAACCUUUGGCUCUACAGUAUCCGCAACUCUAUAAUAUUGCACAACGAAAACAGACUUCCGUUGCGGCAGUGUUACGACAGACUCCUCUUAACAUUCAAUUUCGCAGAGCCUUGAUCGGAAAUAGAUGGGUUAGUUGGUUACAUCUAGUCAGAAGACUAAUGGAUAUUUCCUUGUCUGACUUUCCAGAUAGUAUUCGUUGGAGGUUGACCACCAAUGGUACUUUAUGAGUGAAAUCGAUGUAUGACCAUAUUAUUGAUACGUCGCCUAUUCCAAAGUCCAUGCAUAUUUGGAAGGUCAAGAUUCCCCUUAAGAUAAAAAUCUUCAUGUGGUUUGUUCACAAAGCAAUUGUUUUAACUAAGGAUAACUUGGCUAAAAGACACUGGAAAGGUAAUAAAAGAUGUAGCUUCUGUCAGACGCAUGAGACGAUUAAACACCUCUUUCUGGACUGCCCUAUGGCUAAAUUAUUAUGGCGCUCAAUACAAAUUUCAUUCAACAUUACCCCGCCUACUAGCAUUCACAUGUUAUUUGGGACGUGGCUAUACGGGGUUAAUGUACUUUACGCCAAACUAAUUCGGGUUGGAACUUGUGCCAUGUUGUGGGCGAUAUGGAAUUGCAGAGAUGAUCUAGUUUUUAACAUAAUGCAUUACAUUAACUUUUUGCAGGUCAUCUUCAGGGCUACCGCCUUGAUCCGCAUGUGGUCCUUACUCACUCCUGUGGAAACCAGGGGGCCUUUGGUUACUGGGUGUGUCCGAUGGAAGAUGGUAGCUCAGAUUAUCUUCAAUCGAUAUGGAUGACGGCAUGCUAAUAGGAUUGGACCUUAGUCCACUAUAUCCGAGGGUUAUAGUCGGUUUUGGCGUUCUGAACGCCGUGUAACUCUUUCUUUUUCUCUUGUUUUUUGAAUUCUCGGACUCCUUUGUAUUUUAUUCAAAUUAUUUCUUUCGUAAUAAAAUGGUUGUAUGCAUCACUCGAUGCAGAGGCCGGGGCAACGCCUCUUUUUCAAAAAAAAACUUAUUUGUACUAAAGUUUAUAAUUUGCACCCAAGUAAUGGGUGUUUUAGAAGCACCUACUUUUGUCUAGAAGGUACGGAGUACUAAAUAAAACCUUGGCUACAUGUGUACCGUUGUAGAUAUAUGUUGCUCAUUCACUUAGUUUCAAACGAUCCAAAAUCAACACCAACGAUAUGCAUAUGGGGAAUUUAACUCAAAUAUAGGGCGUUUUGUCCAAAUGAAGCAAAACUUUUUUCAUUCUCCUUUCUUGGCGCAAUAGUAUGUGCUGAUCCGGGUGUACUACAUCUGAUUGUUCUUCAUUUUUUAGUAAUUACCAUGAAAUGAUUGAUUUUACAAAAGUUGAGUUUAGAAACGAUCGUGAAAUUGGUGGUUUCUACAAAUCACUCCUUUCACAAUUCACAUCCAACACACAUCGGCUGCCGACUAUAGUCAUUGUAUGUCGUGAUCGAUUAAUAUAAUAGUUAUGCGCCACAUCAAUACUUUAUAGUAUUUGUCUACUCCCAAAUGUCGUUAUCAUUUACAAGAACUUCAACUCUAGCUAGCUAUAAGUUGAGAGAUGCAUGUUUUUCGUCUUGGCUCGUAAAGCGUCACCGACACCUUAUUCACAAGCUAGCGCAUAGCUGGUACCAUCCACCAUGAUUGCCUUAAUUUACUCAUCUUACUUUCCAUGGAGUAAUCACUCACCUAUCUACCUCUCGACCUAGUCUAAGAUAUAAUACGGACAUUUACCGACACACAUGUUACAUGUACUUCCUUCUCCAAUACCAUACCUCAUCUCAUCCUUGUUUUCUUGGUUCCCCAAGUAUUCAUGGGCAUAAGAGGUGUCGGGAAGCUCUAAAAAUCUGGUCGACAUGCUGCAUCUUCCUCCUUCUUAGCCCUAGAUAGUGAUGUCAUCAAAAUCUGCUUUUUUUUUUUAGAAAUGGAGGCGACGCCCCGGCCUCUGCAUCGAUUGAAACAAAAGAUUCCCAACAAAGAAAAAGCCAAAGACUAAAAUUACAGGGCGCUCAGACCGCCAAAAAGCUAAGAAUAACCCUCUAAUAAACUGGACUAAAGUCCAAUCCUAUUAGCAUGCCUCCAUCCAAAUCGGUUGAAGAUAACCUGAGCUACCAUCUCCCAUCGGACACACCCAGUAACCAAAGGCUCCUUGGUUUCCAUAGGAGUGAGUAAGGACCAUGUGCGGAUCGAGGCGGUAGCUCUGAAGAUGACCUGCAAAAAGUUAAUAUAAUUCAGUCUGUUAAAAGCUAGAUCAUUUCUGCAGUUCCAUAUCGCCCACAGCAUGGCACAAGUUCCAACCCGAAUUAGUUUGGCGAAAUGAACAUUAACCCCAUUUAGCCACGUCCCAAAUAACAUGUGAAUGCUAGUAGGUGGUUCAAUGUUGAAAGAAAUUUGUAGUGAGCGCCAUAAUAGUUUGGCCAUAGGGCAUUCCAAGAAGAGGUGUUUAAUCGUCUCAUGCGUUUGACAAAAGCUACAUCUUUUAUUCCCUUUCCAAUUCCUUUUAGUCAAGUUAUCCUUAGUUAAAAUCACUCCCUUGUGAACAAACCACAUGAAGAUUUUUAUCUUAAGGGGAACCUUGACCUUCCAUAUAUGCAUGGACUUUGAGAUAGGCAACGUAUUUAUAACAUCCUCGUACAUCGAUUUCACAGAGAAUGUACCAUUCGAGGUCAACUUCCAACGAAUAGUAUCUGGUAGAUCGGAGAGGUUAAUAUCCAUCAGUCGUCUUACUAGAUGUAACCAACUAACCCAUCUGUUUCCGAACAAUGCUCUGCGAAAUUGAAUGUUAAGAGGAAUAUGCCGUAACACUGUUGCGACUGAGGUCUGUUUUCGUUGUGCAAUGUUAUAUAAUUGCGGAUACUGUAGAGCCAAAGGUUGUGGGCCUAACCAAGUAUCCUCCCAGAAUCUAGUCUUUUCAACAUUACCAAUAAUGAAUCUAGUUCUGUUAAAGAAAGCGGUCUUUGUCCUCAUUAGACCCUUCCAAAAAGGGGAAUCACCCGGUCGCACAGUGACCUGGGCUAGGGUUUUAUGCUGCAGAUACUUGUUCUUUAGAAUUUGUACCCACAUCCCUUGCGAUUCGACAGAUAAUCUGAAUAACCACUUGCUAAGCAGACACCUGUUCUUGACCUCUAGAUUUUCAAUGCCCAAGCCUCCCUGAUCCUUGGGUCUACAAAUAAUGUCCCAUCUAGUAAGCCUAUAUUUAGUCUUGACCUCGUCGCUCUGCCAAAAAAAUCGAGAUCGAUAGAAAUCCAAUCUUUUCCUUACCCCAACAGGCACUUGGAAAAAGGAUAAGAGAAACAUCGGCAUACUUGUCAGCACUGAGUUGACAAGAACUAACCGUCCUCCGUAGGAUAAUAGCUUGCCCUUCCAGCAGCUAAGUUUUUUCUCAAAACGAUCCUCGAUACAUCUCCACUCCUUGAUGGUCAACUUGGGAUAAUGAAUAGGGAUCCCUAAAUACGAGAAUGGUAAAGUACCGCCCUGACACCCAAAAAGUUGGUAAUACUUGAGCUGUUCAGUUUGUGCCUCCCCAAAACAGAAAAGCUCACUUUUGUGAAAAUUAAUUUUCAACCCUGAUAACUGCUCAAACAAGCAAAGAAUAAGUUUCAAGUUUCUAGCCUUUUUGAAGUCAUGUUCCAUGAAAAGGAUCGUGUCAUCUGCAUAUUGUAGGAUCGAGACACCCCCCUCAACUAGAUGUGGAACUAGUCCCCCUACCAAGUCCUUGUCAUUAGCCCUCCUGAUCAUCAGCGCUAACAUAUCCGCAACUAUGUUAAAUAAAAUAGGUGACAUAGGGUCUCCUUGCCUAAGUCCCUUAAGUGUCUGAAAGAAAUGACCAACAUCAUCAUUUACUUUAACACCGACACUUCCUUUUUUUAUAAAACAAUCCACAUGCCUACGCCAAAUGUCCCCAAACCCUUUCAUUCGUAGAGUUUGUUGCAGGAAAGACCAUUUAACUUUGUCGUAUGCCUUUUCGAAAUCAACCUUAAACAGAACUCCAUUGAGUUUCUUGGAAUGUAGUUCAUGCAGAAUCUCAUGAAGGACAACCACCCCUUCAAGAAUAUUCCUACCAGGCAUAAAAGCUGUUUGCAAAGAUUGCACGACCGAAUGUGCCAUCUUAGUUAGCCUAUCCGUUCCCACCUUUGUGAAAAUUUUGAAGCUGACAUUUAGCGGGCCUCAACUACCAUCGAGAAGAAGCAGCCGCAUUGCAAACUUUGCGGCACGCAAUCCGGCAGGGCAAGGGCAACACACGUGGAGGAAUACUCCCUCUGAGUGAGGAAUACUAACUAACUACAUACUGUAAAUGGACAGAGUUGUCUCAAGUCAAUGGAGUGGACUAGAGAGCAGUAGUUGUAAAGAAGAAUUAGGUGUGCUUUCGUACCCCUAUCCACCCUCCGAGUUUCUAACUUAUAUGAAAGAUGUUCGUCGUGGAAGAAAAUUUACCCCUCACGUAAAAAGGGCAGUAUAAACGAUUUACACGUUUGAAAAUAUUCAAAUAAAACGUGGCCUUUGCCAUUAAUGGCAGCGUUAAGCUGCCCGCCGGCUCACUCCCUGCCGAGCAACUAUAAAAGACUGCUAGGACGGCCUCCCCUAAACCCACUCGCCGCCAAGCCCAUUCCCCACUCCCCUCUCUUUCCAUCGUCAAUGGCCAACCUUGGCACGAGAAGCAGCCGCGGGGGCGGCGCCGCACCCGUCGUCUCAUGACCUGCCAGCCUUAGUCAGUCGGAGAUCGAGGAGCUCUAUCGAUAUGGCAUACUAUUGUCGCCGUCAUCAAAGUUGGCAUGACCAUGGAAGAAUUUUGCACCCACCAAGAGCGCCGCCUGUUCUGGGUAAGGCGCGAUUUUUACGACGUCCUCCCCAUGUACCCUCAUGGCCAAGCACUCCUCGUAACCCUAGUGCUUCCCGCACCACCCGCUUACAUAUCCGCCCAGCCGGAGCAUGUUCCUGGCGGCUGCAGAUAAGGCGGUCAUGUUCGUGCAGCCAUCGCCACAACCAGGUAGGCAGCCGCCCCCUCUCAGGCCCCGCUCCGGCCAAAGGUGGCCAAGCUCAAGGACGAGGGCGGCCCUGAGGACUUUUGGGGGUCCGUCCACACCAUCCAUGACUCUAGUAUUGUACCCAGUUGGGUUCCACCAUUGAAGUUCAUGGACCUUGCAAACCCAGCGGAUGUGUCGGGGUCUAGGAAGGUGUUCAUGUCUCGGUGGAGGCGCUGGGAAAGUCGGUCACAUAUGUAGACAAGUUCUUCAGCUACUUCGACGACAGCAACAACUAGGACAAUGGCAACGACACGGACGAAGGAAUAGAAGAAGGUGAUGGCAGCGUCAUUUACCUCAAUGGAAGCAACGGGGAGUAGUUCUGAUGGUUUAUGUUUUCUAAAUUUUUUUGUUAUCCUUGUACACAUCCUUAGACUUGAAUGAAACUCACUUCCGAUGUGAAAUUUGAUCGUGAUGUUCUAAUUGAUUUGCAUCAUCUCUUCAUUCUUCAACAUCGAAAAUGGUUUCACAUACCAUUUAAUCAGGUGCAUAAGAUACAACUAACAUCAUAGCUCGAAGUUGCAUCACGGUUUAAAUUACAACACCAAAUUCUAUCAUCUCUUACUUCCUAGAUCAAUUUCCAUCAUCUCUUAACAGUACUUCCUAGAUCAACUUAUAUUACCACUUAGUACUACUUAGUAUAUCAAUAUCAAUUUGCAUCAUAACUUCUUCCAUCCAUCUGUAAAACAAGGCACGUUAAACGAAAUAAAACUUUAUAGUAUGAACAAAAUAUAGUUUGAACUAUUUUGAACAGAAUAUAAUUUAAAGUAUUUUGAACAGAAUGUAAUUUGAAAUAUUUGUUUUUGUAUAUGUGUAAUAAACAUAAUAUACUUUUAACUAAUUUCUCUACACCUAAAGGCUCAGGAUGUAACUUGUUGUUGGUUUUGUUUCGCUUCACCCAAGCAAGGAACGCCCCAUAGGUUUUCAUCCAGUUCACCCCCACUCCUCGAUAUCACCUUCCUUGAUACAAACCCGUCGAUCCCACCGUUACCUAAUGCACAAUAAAAAGCAAUUGAGGGAAUCAAACCCUUUCCAAACCGAACCAGUCCACAAUGAAAAGCAAUCGAGGGAAUCAUUUCCUUCCAUAAAGAACACCAAUCAAUCGAUUUGUUCUUUCCAUGUCACACCUCAAAUAACAAACAUCAAGAAUAUGAAAAUGUCACAGCCUUACACAUACAGCAGCAAUAAAAUCAACUCUUUCCAUCUCACAUCAACAAUAGGAAACUUUCAAAAUUCUUGUCUUCAGAGCACAACGGGCGAGCGCUUUUUCUCCAUGCUUGGAAGUUUCUAGAGAAGCUGGUUGGCAAGGCCUCUUUCUUUGAAGAUUUCCAUCUGACUGCGAGCCACCGGUGUCGCCGUGGCUGCGAGGCACCUGUCAGUAACCUUUGCACAUCUCCUCCGAUCAUAUUGGGAAUCAUUCUACUCUAACAACACAAACUGGAUCAAACAAUGAAGAGAUUCGAACGACUUCAUCACCUUGCUUCAUUGCAUUCAUUUGAGAAAUUCCCAGAAUCAUUUGAACAGCAAAUGGCAUUAUCUCUACUCUUAAAGGGUGAGUAUGUACGUCGUUCGCCUCCUACAUAAACCAUCGAUCAAAGGCCACUCUCCCCAGGCGAAUUUUACUCAUCGCUUGACUCCCCCGCGGUUUUUUUCAUCGUUUUUCAACUACACAUACCCAAAUAGACCAAGUGUACCUCUCCAGUGUUUCAUUGCAAGUCCACGCUUUCCUUUUUUGGCAAACAAAUCAAAGGAUGCCUAUUUUCUUCAGUAAUUCCAUAUACAACACCAAUCUUUUCAUAUACAAUAGAAAUCUCCGAUAUAACACCAGUCACUGACCCAUCAAAGUCAAUUUUUCUCCUAGGUGGGGUGGGGGUGGGGGGGCAGGCCCUGGUUCUCUGUGAUUCCAAAUCUCGUCGGUGAUUCCUGGGGCACGAACACUUAUUUUCCAACGUGGGAGGCACAUGCCAGUUACCUUAAUCAUUGUGUUCAAUACAUGUUAUCAUAGCUUGCAGUUCCUUCCGAAAAAAUAAGAAAUAUACUUGAAAUUCAUGAUCUGGUACGGGCGAAUUUGUUUUUGCUAAGAAAUGACCAAUCAAUUUCUUUGAAGCAUUUUUUCAUACAAAUAUAAGCCUCCAAUCUAAACCAUUGAGCACACAUGAUCUGCACAAAAAUAGUGGGAUAAAUUCAUGAUACUCUUUGGGAAAGAGAGCACGCAAGCAGCAGUGCAACGAGAAACAAUCAAUGAAAUUUCUACAUAAGUGGUGUAGCUACUGCUCUUCCUCUGUUUUCAGGACAUAGAGUUUAGCUCUUUUUACAUUCCUAUCGACUCACAACUAUCUUUAUCUCCAAUAUUUCACAAAAUCGGUAUCUUCCAACAUGAAGCAAUUUGUUAUGUGAUUAUUCAAUGAUAGACAUUAACUACACAAUUACUAUUGACAAUCAGAAGUGUUCUGCGCCUGAAGCUCGCGGAAUGAUUUUCAGACGAAGCUUGUUCCAGCGGCCAUGUCACACUUGCUCCUCACCAUGCAUGGUUGAAAUCCAUAACAUUGGAACAAUGUCGUCCGUAUAGCAGUGCUCAUUGAGAGUUUAUAGUGAGAGGAGUGUUUGAUAUAUUGGAAACCAUGAACUAAGGUCAAUGAUCUAAAAAGAAACCACUUUCCCCCACGCCCGCGUCGCUCCUGUGGCGGCUCAAGCAAAACCCUAGCCCACCGCCGCCACCGCCGGAAGAUACCGGUGGGCUAAGCCUGCUCGGAGGACAGCAGCAGCGGGGAUCUCCUUCAUGUGCACACUCGUUCUAUGUUGGGGAGGCUCCACCCUCCUGAUCUGAUCUGUUUUGCUCCGACGACAAGUGUCUCCUCCAGUGCGGUUCGGCAGUGCCCCGGACAGUGUGCUCUUGUGGAUGUGCUGCCCCCCUGGCGCGCUCCACUGGAUGUGGCCUCAGGUGCUCUCGCUGAUAUUUGUCCUUUUUGCAAUCUGAUAUUUAAAUGUGAAGCUGACCACAUAACUUUUUUACUCGAAACAUCACAUGUUCAGCUCUGGCUAGGCAUUUGACUCAAACUGCACAAGCCUUUAGGAAGCACAUACUUUUUGCAUAUCCGACUUAUAAUUGCAAGUCUUUUGAUUCUUUUAAAAGCCACAUACUAUCUGUCUGUUUUGCUUCCGACUUUACUGGUUAUUGUUGUAAGCCCAAAAACCCUGCUUAUUGUUCAACACCACACUUAUGCAAAAAAACAUCGACAUUCGAGGCCAUAUGAACAAAAUAUCUACUCCUCGUAAACACAUAUGUUAUCCCCUACGCUAGCGGCUAGGGUUUCUCCACCUCUCAACGACUUCAGAUGCUACUGAGUCUCGUGCGAUCGAUUGGGGGCAAUCCUCCCCGCUAAAGAUGGCAACCACAUCUGUUGCUCAAUCGAAAACGAGUGAUCAUGUGAUGAAGCCUAGCGUUGGUGAUUUGGAUGAUUUCUUCGGUCAGCUCAAUCUAGUUGAGGAAGAGUUUGAUGAUCUAAUCAUUGAUGAGGCCAAUUCAGUGAUUAACGAACGAGUUCGCUGGCUGGCAUUGGCCAAGGUGCAUACUGAGAAGACCUUCAGCCAUGCAACUUUUUUCAAGGAGAUGAGAGCGGCAUGGAAUACGGCGCAACAAUUGAGGUUCAGACCGGUGCGUAUGAAUCUGUUUGUUGUCUAGGCGUCGUGCCCUGGGGAUUGGGAAAGUAUGAUGAAUCUAGGUCCAUGGAUUUUCAGAUUCUGGGCUGUUUUGAUGCAUCCAUACGAUGGUAUUAGUCAGACGGAAGAUAUUCAGAUCGUUCAUAUGCCAAUAUGGCUGCAGAUACAUAAGCUCCCUGAUGGCUACUCUGAUAAAGCAAUUGUGGAAAAGUUGAUAAAGACGGCUGGGAAGGUGCUGGCGGAAUGGAAAUUCCCGUGGUGACUAAAUGAGGGUUAGGGUUAAACAUGAUGUGAGAGAGCCCUUAACUAAACAUGUUAGUAUCAUCAGAGGGAAGGAACGACAAGUUUUUGCGGCGAGGUAUGAAAAACUAGCUCGUUUUUGUAAGGCUUGCGGCAAGAUUGGUCAUGAUUUUAAAUAAUGUGGUAUAGGCAUCCACUUAGCAAAUGAUAUGAAGUAUGGAGACUGGUUAUAUGUGGAUUUUUCAGCAAGGCCACGAUCUGAAACUCGGUCUGUACCUGGUUCUAAAGGGGCUGGCCCGGAAGGCAAACCAUCAAGUUUGGUAAAUAAUGCUAAUGGAGGAGAUGAUGACCUGAAAAGUAUUGCAUCUAGUCCACAGAGAAACGCAGGUAUGGAUUUGGAUAUGGAAGCACCAAAGUGUGGUGUACAACAGCAGGGGGAUAAGAUCAUACAUAAGCGCCCAGCCUUGGAUAUUGAGAAUGUGGUGCCAGCCGCUGGGCUAGUUCCGAUGGUACAUGCAAUUACUAAUGGCUCUAGCAAGGAUCUAGACACCUUUGCAACGUCUAGUUGAGCAGCAAAAGGGCAAAUAUGGAGAAGAAUAAGAACUGUGAUAUGCAUGGAUCGGCGGGCUCCCCUGAGGAGUGCCGUCGGGAACAAUGAAUCUUUUAUUUUGGAACAGCCGGUGGGUGGGGAACCGCCGAACAGUUCGAGAGGUUUUGGCCCUCGCAAAGGCCAAUUACCCAAAGCUUGUCUUUCUAAGUGAAACAAGGCAAGCUUCGAACAAGAUUGAAAAGCUGAAGUGGCGUUUAGGCUUGAAAGGUUUUCAUGGUGUUUGCAGUGAUGGCCAGAGUGGCGGCCUAGCUUUAUUUUGGGACAAGUCUCUUCGGGUCUCGAUUAGAGACUCAUGUUCUCGGCACAUUGAUGUGGAUGUGAUGGAUGGGAACAUUGGUUCAAGUUGGCGCGCAACUUUUUUUUAUGGAGAACCAAGGGUGGAAAACCGACAUUUGAUGUGGCAGCAUUUGUCAAGGUUAUGUGCUAGUUCAUUAGACCCAUGGUUAGUGUGUGGUAACUUUAACGAGGCACUUUGGCAACAUGAACACUUAUCAAGGACGCAACGAGCAGAAGUUCAGAUUGUGGCGUUUCGUGAUUGUCUAACGGUGUGUCAACUGGAAGAUUUGGGGUUCUCUUGCAUGCCGUAUACAUAUGAUAAUGGGCAGCAUGGUGAUCGUAAUGUACGUGUGCAUCUCGAUAGGGCAUGUGCGGAUGAGUAGUGGAGCGACAUGUUUCCAAUAAGGUCCAGGGUAGUUCAUGGGGCAACCCCUUGUUCUGAUCAUUGCCUGAUUGUUUUGCAGCUACAUCCGGUGGAUGACAAACCCUGUAGGUCUAAUUAUUCCCGCUAUGAAAUUAUGUGGGAAAGAGAACUGUCGCAAUAGGAAGUGGUCGCUAGAACAUGGGAGAUUGAGAGGCCAGCAGGAAAUCUUGGGUCGGUCUUGUACUCGCUUAAGAAUAUGAUGAGAAAGUUGCGGGAGUGGAGCAAAGAGAAGUUUGGCAAUGUAAUCUGGGACAUUGAAAAGCUUCAUGGCGAGCUUGCCGACCUACAGAUUGGUAACGCAGAUCGGGCUAUAAUAAGACAAAAGAUGAAUGAGUUAGACGAGAUAUUGUACCGUGAAUAGAUGCUUUGGCUCCAACGGUCACGAAUUACAUGGUUAAAGGAGGGCGAAAAAAUACGAGGUAUUUGCAUCGUCGUGCGGUUUGGAGAGGACGUAGAAAUCAUAUUCAGAGGUUGCGCAAAGAUGAUAGUUCAUGGUGUGAUAGCCCUUCGGAUAUGGAAUGGAUGGCACGUUCAUAUUUUAGUGAGGUGUACACAAAGGAUCCCACGCUAAAUGCGGACAGGGUCCUGGAGUGCAUUGCUCCAAAAGUUUCUGAGGAGAUGAACAAUUUCCUUUGUGCUCCUUAUUUAGAAAAGGAGGUCUCUGACGCGCUGUUUCAGUUUGGCCCACUAAAAGCACCAGGUACGGAUGGUCUUCGAGCACGAUUUUAUCAGCAUAACUGGGGCAUCUUAAAGUCUAAAAUUAUUGCGGCGGCGCUUGAGUUUUUUUGUUAGUGGAGUUAUGCCGGAUGGAGUUAAUGAUACGGCUAUCGUUUUGAUUCCAAAAGUGCCUCACCCAAAGGAGCUAAAGGAUUUCAGUCCGAUAAGCCUUUGCAACGUGGUGUAUAAAAUUGUCUCAAAUUGUAUGGUCAACAGGCUUAGGCAUCUUCUUAUGGAUCUUAUUUCGGAGAAUCAAAGUGCCUUUAUUCCAGGUCAUCUCAUAUCUGAUAAUUCUAUCAUUGCAUUUGAAUGUAUUGACUAUAUCCAAUCCCUAAAAGGUAGUACAAAUAUGUGCUGCGCCUACAAGCUUGAUCUUUUGAAACUUUACGAUCGAGUGGAUUGGAAUUUUUUGGAGAAGGCUUUAUUGAAGUGGGGCUUUUCUUCGGCUUGGAUUUCACGCAUUAUGGCGUGUUUUACUUUAGUUAAAUACUUAGUGAUGUUUAACGGGAAGUUUCUAGAGUCCUAUGCACCUACGAGAGGUCUUCGCCAAGGGGGUCCUCUUUCACCGUUUGUAUUCUUAUUUGUGGUUGAUGCAUUAUUUGCAUUAAUUAGUGAGGCCACUGUGGUAAAUGGUUUACACGGGGUUCAUAUUUGUAGAAGGGCAUGAGUAAUAUCUCACUUGCUCUUUGCGGAUGACUCGCUUUUAUUAUUUCAUGCUUCUGAGCAGCAGGCGAGCAUUGUCAAAGGUUUGUUGAACACUUAUGUAGAGGCGACGGGUCAACUUAUAAACCUAUCAAAGUGUUCCAUCCUGUUUUCUGGCAAUUGCCCUGAGCUGGUUCAUAUGUUUCAGCUACAUGCCACCAUCGUUUCUCUCAACAGUUCUCUACCAAACACGAUCAAGAGGCAGUAGAAAAUUGCAUUCCUUUCAAUUUUUUGCUAUAUAAACCAAACUUCAGUAUUUCUCUACUAUGAAAUGUCAUUAUCCUUUGCAAGAACUUCAACUCUAGCUAUAAGCUGAGAUAUGCAUGUUUUGUGUCUCAGGUCUUAAAGUGUCAACUACACAUUAGUCAUAAGCUAGCUAGCAUAGCUGGUAUGGUAACGUCCACCAUGGCUGCCUUUUUUAGAAAAGGAGGCUUGCUCGGGCCUCUACAUUAUGAUGAUGCAUGCAACCAUUUUAUUGCGCAAACAAAAAAUACAAUAAAGGAGUCAUUACUGACCUAUCUACCUCACGACCUAGUAUUAGAUAUGAUACGAACCUUCAACCACACACAUGCUACAUAUACUUCCUUCUCCAAUACCACCAUCGGUCGGUUUGUUACUUUUCACCCAAAUACCAUAUCUCAUCUCAUCCUUGUUUUAUUGGUUCCCCAAGUUUUCAUGUGCAUAAGAGGCACCGGGAAGCUCUAAAAAUCACAUUCCCAUAGUGCAUCUUCCAUCCUUCUUGGCCUUGGAUAGUGAUGUCAUCGCAAUCAGCUGGGCCCGAACUGCCAUCGAGAAGGAGCGGCCACCCUGCAAAAUUUGUCGGAUGCAAUCUGGCGGGGGCAAAGACAUCAUGCUCGGAGGUAGAUGACGAUGGGCACAAGGAGGAGAGUUUGGUCGCUGCCCGAGCCGCCUAGGACGCGAUGCGAUGGGCAGAUCUGCCUUAACUUUGGGAGAGAAUUUCACUUUCUGGCCUCUGCAACAAAUAUAGUACCAAGAUAAGCAUGAUCCUUAAAGAUUUUUUUAAUGAGUACCAAGAUAUUAUCAUGAUAAGUAUGCACAUUCAUAACAUCGGACAAGCCACUAUUAAUUUCCCUAUCUCUAAACAUGAUCUUCUACUAAAAUGUGUCUUCCAUGUUUCACGAAACAACAAAAAUCUUGCAUCCAUAUCUCGUUAAUCAGCCAAAAAUAAGUUUGUCUUUGAAACUCAUCCAACGAGGAUCGGGCAACGAGGGAUCUCAUCCAUCCUGGUAGAUGCACUGGACGACUUUACCCCAUUACAUCAAGAAUAUUUAGCCGAAAACGUCGUUGUGAAGUCCUCUUUGGCAAGAUGGCAUCAAAUAUUAGGACAUCCUUCAUAAAAAAUAGUUGACAAAAUAGUGAAUAAAGACAUUCUUCAAUUGUCUUGUAAUGAGAAUAAGGAGUCUUUUUGUGACGAUUGUCAAGAUGCCGAAGGUCAUCAACUCCCUUUUCCUAAGCUCCGCAAUGUGUCUCAUGCUCCUUUAGAUCUUCUUUUCGGUAAUGCAUGGGGUCAUGCAAGAGAUUCAUUUGGAAGAAAUAAAUACUAUAUAUGUUAUCUUUAUAGAUGAUUUUAGUAAGUUUACUUGGAUAUACCUGAUUAAACACAAAUCUAAAGUAUUUUCUUUCUUCAAAGAAUUCCAAAAACUUGUGGAGAGACACUUUGAUAAGAAAAUUAUUGCAGUCCAAAGUGACUGGGGUGGAGAGUAUGAGAAACUCAACUCUUUCUUUCAUAGUGUAGGCAUUGAUCAUGAUGUAUCAUGUCCACAUGCACUCAAAUAAAUUGUCUUGCUGACAGGAAGCAUUGGCACAUUGCUGAAAUAGGAAUUUCCUUCAUGCACAUGCAUCAAUUCCUCUUAAAUAUUGGGACCAAGCCUUUAUUGUUGCCACUUAUCUUAUCAACCGCCUACCAAGCAAAGUCAUUGGCAAUAGCACUCCUCGGAAUGUAGAACAGUAGAAGGGUGUUAUGAGGUUUAUGCACAACAUCCAAAAUAAAGAGACCCAAGCUCAGUCAUAGAAUCCUAUGGACAAUACACCUGUUAGAAUCCGAUGUAAGAAAUUGAAUAUCCAACGGCAAGCAGUGCUCCUUUCCAGAUCUGUACCUUUUUAAUUGCUUCAUCCAAUAGCCAAUAUUCGAAGCUUAUUUGUACAUUAUAUAUAGGGAUUUUGUGGUGGGUACAACUGCAACUUUUCGUUUAUUUUCUCUCGUAUAUAAAGGUGACAUACAGAUGUUAGCGCGGCCAGCGUGUAAUCGACUCGGUGACCAACAUGAUGCAACCCUAGACUCAUAUGUAGUCUUGUCAGUCACCUCCUUCGUUGGGGCCUGGUUCAGAAGAUAGACCGCCGUCGAGACAACUUUUCACUAAAAAAUAUCCGGUAAGUUCUUCUUCUUGAGUAAACUCCUCGCCAUGCCAACGACGGUUCAACCGUGCCUUCCAACACUGUUCUGCUGCAGCAUAUAAGAUGUCGUGGGGAACCAUUUUAAGACGAUCUUCUUACAGCAGUCAUUGAACUCCGCCAUGAUCUGUGCAUAGAGCUUGAACAUUCAGCUCGUGUUCCAUCUUUGUUGCAGCCUUUGGUUUCUUGAAAGCUUCAAACGCCUCAUAUUUAGUGUCACAUAGAUCACCAGGGAGUAGCAGAGUAGGGAACGGUUAUGUAUGCAAAUAAAUCACAUAGUAGUAAUAAGAACAAAAGAACACUUUGAAGCGCGUGUUGUCUCUCUCCUUUCUUCGAAGGGUAGCAGUAACCGCUAGCAAACUAGUGCCAAACCUUGCUCUAUGUCUCUCUAUCUCUCUCUCUCCCUCCCUCCCGCCCUCCUCUCUGAUUUCUGCCAUCGCCAGCUGCUCCUUCCACAGCGUUUAGAAUCCCCUUUACCCGGCAGCGUGUACAGCAGUAGGGCACAACAACAGCCAAUAGGCACUGUACCUUUCCUUCGUACGUGGUCACGGCGGCAACAGCAUGGAGUUCAUUUAUUGAUGAAUCCCCAUCUUAUAUGCUUGCCCUUCUCUUUCGUAAUUAAUGAGCCCAAAAUUAACCUGCAUAUUUAACCCUAUGCACAAGGACAGUGGAUGAUCUGUGACAAAAACUGCAAUUAGGAUGGUUAAUUGGAGGCUCACCAACAUAUAUUGAUCUUAUCUUACGCUUGUGCAUUUUAGUUCUGCAGUGGCGGGUGUAAUUUAAGGCACGACAAGGGCCCUUGGCUACAUAAUUUUGUGUGUGCGUGUUAGUAGUGAUUUCAUGUAAUCGAUCCUGAGGGUUGAGUUCCAACAAUUGUUAGGUCUAAUCUUGAGUUUGUAGUCACAAGUGCAUGUACAGGUUGUGCUAGGACGUGUAGUCCAUGGUCUUGGGCUAAGUACGUGUCUAGUUUAGAUAGUUCUAGGAGUCCUGAGUCAUGCACGGGUACUAGUCCUUGCAGGAACAGGUUAGUAGGUGUCCGAGGUUAGUUUGGCUAGUUAGAGUCCGAGUAGGACUUGUGUCAUGUUGGUCAAGGCUGCGUGCAUAUAUAUAGACGUGAAGGUAUGUGGAUUUUGGAGUACCGUGACUUGAGAAAAAAGAGAAAAUAAAGAGGGAAAAUUAAGGCACGACAAGGGCCCUUGGCUACAUAAUUUUGUGUGUGCGUGUUAGUAGUGAUUUCAUGUAAUCGAUCAUGAGGGUUGAGUUCCAACAAUUGGUAUCUAGAGCAAGGUCGAGGUGAAGCUAUACUUGCCCCGGGGAGGUGACCCGACUAGCGCCUCGGGGCGGGCUAUAUGGUCACUGGGUGGUGCAGCGACGAGGAGCGGCGGGCAAUGGUCGUUCGUGGAGCGACGGAUGAAGAGGUUCAGGAGAUCGUCGUUCGGCGAAGCGGCAAGGAGGGACAGUGGUCGGUCGUCGGCAAGGCGGUGGAAGAAAAUCGUUGAUGGGAGCGAUGGUGCCGAGGUGCGGUGCCGAGAAGCCAUCAAGGUCAUCGUCCAAGGGAAUAGGAGUCAAGGAGUCGUGCGGGUUGGGACAUCUCGGUCGUCGUGUCAGUGAGUCGUCGGCGUCGUCAUGUCCAAGUGCUCGUCUUGGUGAUGAUUCGUUGGAGUUGAAGCGGUGUGCACGGUGUUCCGUGAGUCAUAUCCAUGUCCUCGUGGAGCGUCCUGGUUGCGGCCAGUAUGGAUUCGGUGUGAUGCCGAAGGUGGACGAUGGUAGGCGAAGCCAUCGUAAAGCGAGGAGGUGUGCGAGUAGUGGAGAGUGGAUCUACUACAAGCAAGUACAAAGAGUAUGGUGCGGACCGAGUGCAAGGCAGCGGCCAAGCAAUGGCGGUGGCACAACAUUGUAGAGCAAGGAGGUUCUACUUGUUUCCAGACGGGUCAUACUCAAUGUACGGAUACGACGGUUUAGUCGAUGUGUCGACAAGUCACGAGUCAACAACGAGUCAAGACAAGACGGAACACUAAGAAGAUGGCAUGUCAAGAUUAGGAAGAGAUUGUUAGGUAUAAUCUUGAGUUUGUAGUCACUAGUGCAUGUACAGGUUGUGCUAGGACGUGUAGUCCAUGGUCUUGGGCUAAGUACGUGUCUAGUUUAGAUAGUUCUAGGAGUCCUGAGUCAUGUACGGGUACUAGUCCUUGCAGGAACAGGUUAGUAGGUGUCCGAGGUUAGUUUGGCUAGUUAGAGUCCGAGUAGGACUUGUGUCAUGUUGGUCAAGGCUGCGUGCAUAUAUAUAGACGUGAAGGUAUGUGGAUUUUGGAGUACCGUGACUUGAGAAAAAAGAGAAAAUAAAGAGGGAAAAUUAAGGCACGACAAGGGCCCUUGGCUACAUAAUUUUGUGUGUGCGUGUUAGUAGUGAUUUCAUGUAAUCGAUCAUGAGGGUUGAGUUCCAACAAUUGGUAUCUAGAGCAAGGUCGAGGUGAAGCUAUGCUUGCCCCGGGGAGGUGACCCGACUAGCGCCUCGGGGCGGGCUAUAUGGUCACUGGGUGGUGCAGCGACGAGGAGCGGCGGGCAAUGGUCGUUCGUGGAGCGACGGAUGAAGAGGUUCAGGAGAUCGUCGUUCGGCGAAGCGGCAAGGAGGGACAGUGGUCGGUCGUCGGCAAGGCGGUGGAAGAAAAUCGUUGAUGGGAGCGAUGGUGCCGAGGUGCGGUGCCGAGAAGCCAUCAAGGUCAUCGUCCAAGGGAAUAGGAGUCAAGGAGUCGUGCGGGUUGGGACAUCUCGGUCGUCGUGUCAGUGAGUCGUCGGCGUCGUCAUGUCCAAGUGCUCGUCUUGGUGAUGAUUCGUUGGAGUUGAAGCGGUGUGCACGGUGUUCCGUGAGUCAUAUCCAUGUCCUCGUGGAGCGUCCUGGUUGCGGCCAGUAUGGAUUCGGUGUGAUGCCGAAGGUGGACGAUGGUAGGCGAAGCCAUCGUAAAGCGAGGAGGUGUGCGAGUAGUGGAGAGUGGAUCUACUACAAGCAAGUACAAAGAGUAUGGUGCGGACCGAGUGCAAGGCAGCGGCCAAGCAAUGGCGGUGGCACAACAUUGUAGAGCAAGGAGGUUCUACUUGUUUCCAGACGGGUCAUACUCAAUGUACGGAUACGACGGUUUAGUCGAUGUGUCGACAAGUCACGAGUCAACAACGAGUCAAGACAAGACGGAACACUAAGAAGAUGGCAUGUCAAGAUUAGGAAGAGAUUGUUAGGUAUAAUCUUGAGUUUGUAGUCACUAGUGCAUGUACAGGUUGUGCUAGGACGUGUAGUCCAUGGUCUUGGGCUAAGUACGUGUCUAGUUUAGAUAGUUCUAGGAGUCCUGAGUCAUGUACGGGUACUAGUCCUUGCAGGAACAGGUUAGUAGGUGUCCGAGGUUAGUUUGGCUAGUUAGAGUCCGAGUAGGACUUGUGUCAUGUUGGUCAAGGCUGCGUGCAUAUAUAUAGACGUGAAGGUAUGUGGAUUUUGGAGUACCGUGACUUGAGAAAAAAGAGAAAAUAAAGAGGGAAAAUUAAGGCACGACAAGGGCCCUUGGCUACAUAAUUUUGUGUGUGCGUGUUAGUAGUGAUUUCAUGUAAUCGAUCCUGAGGGUUGAGUUCCAACAGUAAUGCUUAAACCUUUUAAAUAAUAGAGCUUCCCAUUUUAGAAAAUAUGGCAACGGAAAAAAUGCACUAUACAAAAUAGUGUCGACCCUUAAAAUAUGUUCCUAACAUUUUUAGAAAGACAAUUCUCUACAUAGUAUAGCGUGCUAUUAAUGACGCUAUAGCAUUGCUAUUUUUGCCCUAGUUAUAUAUAUGAUGGUAAGUAUGAGGAACUUAGUUAGAGUUAUGUAUAGACAGAUACUUAUUCAUAUAGCAGUAGCACAUGGACAGAGUUGUAGCUACCGCAAGAGGCUUACCAUCAUAUGUGCAAUAAAGGAGUAGUAGUGUUAUUAAUUCAUAUAUCUACCUCACAGACUAGUUAUGAGAAAGGACACAAACCCUUGGCUACAGAUAUAUCAUAUAUAUACCUCCUCCUUCUGCCAGCAGCGAUAGGUUCGCUCGCACACAUUCAUAGUUUUCACUGAGAUAUGAUGCUUUUAUCUUAUCCCAGUUUUUUUUUGCCUCCCAAUUAAUUAAGAUAGGCAUUGAAGGUUUCUGGAAGUCUCCGAAAACGGUAGACUGAUGGCGCAGUAUCCAUCUCUCUAGCCUACAUCGUAAUACGGCGCAAUAUACUGCUUAGCGGCCACUACACUCUGUAUUUUUUGGUAAUCAUGAGCCAUCAUGGUGUGUCGUCAUCAGCAAAGCUAAUUAGCCUAUCUUGUGCUAGCGACAAUAAACGUAACCAAAUUUUUAAUUUCGAGAAAGCAUAAAUACAUGCAUACAAGAUUAUUGCUCUAGGACUGAGAAAUCGAGCAUCUUAUAUAUCUUUGCAGGUUUUGCUCGUCCAUAGAUACAAUAUCUUCAAUUUGAUUUUGGUUGUCUGUCAAUUUGAACCAAAUCAUUGGACCAUUAACCUGAAUUUUGUACGUCGUCUAUUUUAUUAUGUGGACAUGGACCGUGGGUAGAUGAUGAUUAAUGGCGAUGGCAGUCAGGAACAGGAACUAGAGGGUCACAACAUAGCUCCCUUUUAUGUUAAUUGUGCCCUUGUGGUGGUAAUUGGGAACACCUUAGCUAGAGAGUCUCUCAGAGUGAGAAAUACUAAGUACAUAUAGCAGUAGCAGGUAGAUAGAGUUAUACCAUUCCAAUAAAUCAUAACUAAUUAUAUGAUUGACGCACAAACAAAAUUACUUGUUAUAAAAAAAUACAUGUGGUUGAGCAACCAAAGAGUCAAGGCCACAUAGACGCUUGAACAAUUCAGGAUCUCAUAUGUCAACUAUACGUUGAUUUCAACAAAUAUGUCAUGAUUGAUAAAUAUAAGAGUCUUGCACCACAUCAUGCAUUAAAAAUAGUUAUUCAUUACCAAAUGUUAUGACCCGUUGCAAGAACUUGAACUCUAUGCACUUAAAUGACCAUAUAUAGAUCCCAUUGUUUCACCUUAACUAUAAAGAGUUUCUACUAACUUAAAUGAGCCAGUCUGUGUCUAGCUAUCUAACAUCGGCAAUCAUUACCUAGUUUAUCCAUCUCACUUUUGCGUAUUCUUAGCAUGCCUAUCUACCAUAAAUAGUAGCACUACUAAAAAAAGGCUAUAGCUAAUAUAUAUGGACAUUAAUGACCCAUCAUGUAUGUGGUGCGUCACUGCUAUAUAGCAGUGGCGCACCAGAGACUGGUGCGUCAUUAGUGUUCAUAUUACUAAUGGCGCACCUUGUGUGUGGUGCGCCAUUACUAUCUUUGUUCUGGCCCCACACCCUUUCCUAGACAUAUCAGUGACGCACCAGGGAAAGUACGCCAUUACUAGUUUUAACUAGUAAUGGCGCACCACAUCCACGGUGCGUCAGAACUAACGAUUGUUUUUUCAGUUUUUUUUUUCAAAAUUACUAAUGGCGCAUUGUUACGAGGUGCGUCAUUGGUAACCUGGUUAUCAAUGACGCAUUCUUAGGUGGGUCGCCAUUGAUAAUCAGAAGUGAAAAAAAAAACUCCCGCUCCAAUCCAGCGAAACUCCCGCUCUCGCGCACCGUCCACCUCCCCCACUGCACCUGCCGUCGCCGGCUGAACCCCCUGCUCCCCCCUCGCCGCUGCGCCACCUCCGCCUCGCACCGCGCCCUCCCCGCUCCCUGCCUCUCCCCACCGCCGCCAGGAACCCCCGAUGAUGGGCGACGACAAGAGCGCCGCCGCCUCCCCCUCCGCCUCCGCCGCGCUCCCCUCCUUCGGCCUCGAGGUUCGCCCAGAGGUUCGCCCCCCUCCCUCCGCCGUAUAGAACCCUCUCAAAACUUAGCGGACAGUGUUCAGUGGUUAGUACAAAUGGAGACGGAUCGAGGUCAGUGGUUUUUGAAUCAUUUUGUGUAUGUGGUUCUGCCAUGUAGUUGAAACGUGAAGUUUUGAGAGGAACAGGCUGGCAAUAUUCGUACAACCAUAGUGCAAAGUUGUAAAUUAUACUUAGGAACUAAUUUUUUUACAAAAAUGGUUCGAAAGAUAAUAUUUCAUAAGAUCGUGAUUGAUUAUGGGCAACAACACAUGUUUCCCAUAAGUUACGAGCGCCAACCCACGCUGAUAAAUGUGCCCUUGACGAGGUCUAACUAUUACCACCAUCUGCAACGGUAGGAUUUUGCCAUCUAAUUAUUUAGGAUUAUGUCCAAAUGAAGAGAGAAACGGUAGAGCUAAUGCACAUGUCAAGGUCAAGGUCAUAUGUCAGACCAGUAACAAUGUCAAGGUCGUAUAUCUAUAUCUCUGUUUGUUGAUUUGAUCCAUGCACAAGUCAAUAAUCAGAUCAAUAAUAAUGUGAAAGUUCUCUGUUUCUGUCGGUUGAUUCAACCUAUACAUGCACAUAUAAAUGACAGAGCUGUUCAAAAGCUACAACGACAUUUGAAACUUUUCAACCUAUACAUGCACAUGUAAAUGACAGAGCUCUUCAAAAGCUACAGCGACAUUCGAAACUUUGAUACAUAUACAUCUGCCCAAGCUUUUGUACUAGGAACAGAAGGGAGACAAUUAUUCCCUCGUAAUGAAUGGUGAACAGCUGAGGUUCUAUCAGGGAGAUGAUGCAUGACGCCUAGGGAUGUGAUUGGGUUGAAAAGGAAUCAUGUCUUUCCAUCUCACCUUCAUCUAUCUAGGUUUAAUGUAAUCUAAUACAAGGGGCUCCCAAUCAACUCUGGUUUUGUUAUCUUGUGGCUUUUGAGCUAGCAGUAGUACUAGUGCUGCUAGGGAUGAAAAAGAUAAGAUGAUAGUGACAGGGGAAUCGGGUGUAUAGGGAAUCGGCAGAAAGGGUGACAAGAGAUGUAUAGAUAUGAUGUGUCUGUUGGCCAUAAAGGUCAGGUAUCAUUGCAAUGAAAAAAAUGUGACCAAGUGCCGUUUGUGUGGUUUAUUCCUGAAAGAAUGCAAAGUUCAAAACAUGCAGAGGUCAUUGUGUAAUCUUUGUGUAAGCAGCCGAGCAACCAUUGUCCAUGUUGCUUCUCGUCCUAAACUGUGAUUGCUCAUGGUGGACGGCUCAUGAUGCAUUACCUAGCUAGGUGAAAGAUGCAGAAAUGGGCCUGAAAAAAAUGUGUUGUUGUCCCGACUAAUACUAGUACAUAUUUCGAGCAAAUGAUCAAUUUCAUAUCAGGCAUCAAACGGUCCUAAUUAAUAUAAUCAACACCAAACGGUCCUUAAUCAACACCACCCCACUCCCUAAUAAACACCAAAUGGUCCUAGUUAAUUAAUAUAAUCUGAAGCAUCAUUCAUCUUACUUUUGCCACGAACCAUGAACCAUUGUACCGAGAGAGGUAUCAUUCAUCUUACUUUGUGCAUUGCUUGACUUGCCAUGAACCAUGGUAUCGAGAGAGGUGUCAUUCAUCUUACUUUUACAUUUUACAUGCUAAUAUUACUAUUGUGCCAUGGUACCGAGAGAGAUAUCAUUCAUCUUAUUUUUACUUGCCAUGAACCAUGUUACCAAGAGAGGUAUACCUGUAAUAUAUUGCACCGAAAGAGUGCUCUUCAUGUUUGGUAGCUUUGCUUGUUUUGCCGGAAUGUUGAUUCAUUUCCAUUCCGGCAAAUUUCAGGCGCUUCAUAUGUUCAUUUUUUUAGUAAAUGUCAUGCCCAAAUUUUCUUUGUUUUAGGAAUUGUCGUCUGACGACGAAUACGUUAUGUGCGAAUACUGCCAAGACAAGCGCGGCCUUUGCGACAAGCCUUUCCUAGUUGAUGAUAGGCGUUUCAGCAUCAUGCUGGAUGAGGACUUCGAAGUGGAUACAGUAAGUCACAACGACAAGUCUUUUUUGGUAAUUAAGCAUGACUUCUUUUGCUUCAACUUAUAAUUUUUAUUUUUUACUAUUCUACUAGCGUAUCCCCUGCCAUGCAAGACAUUAUGUGUUGGCUAAGAUUGGUUUCGGUACUGAAGAAGCUAUGGAGGUAAAGAUAGUUCACUUGAGGACCGAGCAUGGUUAUACUUUUGCCGUAAAAUUGUACAAUGCAGACACCUACUCCGUUUUUGAAUGCAAAACUUGGGUAGCACUAUGCAAGGCUUAUGCAUUUGAGCCUAAUAUGGUUAUCACCUUUGAUAUUCGUACGGAAGAUGAAAUUGAAGGUAAUAUCGACAUUUGGUUCGAUGGGCAGACGCCUCCAGUUCUAUCAUUAUGUGAGUUUCUCAACCAUAUUUAUUAAGUAAUUUAUAUUGUUUAUUUAAAAAUAGUUGACAACUUAUUUCCAUUGACAAUUUAUUUUCAUUCUUCAAAAAAUGUAUGGAAAAUGGUAGACAAAACCUAUUACUACAAUUAUGAAGCAGAAUUAUCUUGUCAGGAGAUACAUCAUCUUGUCCAAUUUAUCAUUGAUCUUGAGAAUUACAAUACCAAUCAGCAAACUUUCCAACAUUAUGGUCAAUAUGUGCCACUAGUGCACGUGGUGAACUACAGUAACAUGCAUGGAGAUUGCAUGGUAAGAUUUUCUACUAUUAUGACAUACAUGCAUCUUUUGCAUAAAUUCUUGUAAAACUAAACUACAUUGCUAGCUACAAAGCUAAUACUAUGUUUUUCAACAGAAAAUCCCGGAAGAUUGUGUGCCUCAUCUGAUGUUACCAAGAGGUCGCGUUGAUGUUAUGAUCAUACGACCAGCACGGCCAGGUCAGCCUAGGUAUCUGAUGUACUCCUGUCCAUACCGGAUUUCUAAAACCGAUGAAGUCAUGACAAUCAAAGAUUGGAAAAAAUGUAUGGUCUAUCCUAGAGAGCUACUUGGAAGCAACAUUGUGCGUAGGCCAAGAAUUGGAGACAAGAUGAUCUCCAUUCUCCAUAAUGAAGAGUCAGGGCCUAUCUUGUUUUUUGAUAUUCUACCUAAGCGGAGGAGUAGGUCCUAGGUUCAAUGUGUUAUUAUGUGCUACAGUGUGAUGAUGUGCUACAAUGUGUUAAUGUGAUGAUGUGCUACAAUGUAUUAAAUAGUAUUGGUGGUAAUGACUAUGAUGAUUAUUAGCUAUUUCCGAGAUGAUGUGAUGAUGUGCUACAAUGUGUUAGAGUUGACGAUGAUGAUGAUGAUGAUGUGCUACAAUGUAUUUUGUAACCUGUGCACCAUCUAAAAGUGCACAGGUUACAAUGAUGAUGAUGAUGUGCUACAAUGUGCUAAAAAAAUCCUAAUAUUCAUAGUAGUGGCCCACCAUCUAAAGUGCGCCAUUAGUAAACCCACAGUAGUGAAGCACUUCUGGGCCUAAUAAUGACGGACCAGGUGGUGCGCCACUGUUAUGUAUAUUAACAGUGGCGCACGAGGGGUGCGCCAUUACUAUUUAUUAGUAGUGGCGUGAUAAUAGUGGCGCACCUAUAGUGCGCCAUUAAUAGGAAAAAUAGAUGCACAACUAAUAGCCUUUUUUCUAGUAGUGUAGUAAUGGGUACAAACUAUAAGUUAGCUCCAUAUAAUGACACUUCUGUUGGAAUUAACCACGAUCAAGUAGUCCUGUCAGGAUCGGACUAGGAGCAGUCACCGAAUACGUAUAGGUGUAGGUCAGUUUUGCUCCUAGAUAUACUUGCACUAGUGGGGACGGGGCCUUUAGCCCGGGCCCGUAAGGGGCUUUAGUCCCGGUUCACCAACCGGGACUAAAGGGGCGGGACUAAAGGCCUAACCUUUCGUCUCGGCCCUCUUACAAGCCGGGACUAAAGGUGCUUCACGUGGGCGCCUCGUAGCGCCCCAGGGCCAGGCCCUUUAGUCCCGGUUCGUUACACGAACCGGGACUAAAGAUUUUCAGAUUUUGCUGGUUUUUGGGUUUUUUUUUUGAAUGAAAUUAUUUUUGGGUUUUAGGGUUUUAGGGUUUAGGUGUUCGGGAAUUAGUUUUCAUAUAAAUUAAAUAGAAAUAAUUAUGCAUAUAUAUAUAUAAGAUUAACUNNNNNNNNNNNNNNNNNNNNNNNNNNNNNNNNNNNNNNNNNNNNNNNNNNNNNNNNNNNNNNNNNNNNNNNNNNNNNNNNNNNNNNNNNNNNNNNNNNNNAUAUAAUAAUAACUAAUUUAUUAUUGCCUCUAGGGCAUAUUUCCAACAGUCUCCCACUUGCACUAGAGUCAAUAAUCUAGUUCACAUCACCAUGUGAUUCCAACGAAUCCAACACCCAUAUAGUUAUGGGGUCUGAUCACGUCUUGCUCAUGAGAGAGGUUUUAGUCAACAGUUCUGAAAAUUUCAGAUCCGUGUGUUCUUUACAAAUCUUUAUGUCAUCUUAUAGAUGCUGCUACUAUGUGCUAUUCGGAAAUACUCCAAAUAUCUACUCUACUAUACGAAUCCGUUUCACUACUCAUAGUUNNNNNNNNNNGUGAGAGAGGUUUUAGUCAACGGUUCUGAAACUUUCAGAUUCGUGCGUUCUUUACAAAUCUUUAUGUCAUCUUAUAGAUGCUGCUACUACGUGUUAUUCAGAAAUGCUCCAAAUAUCUACUCUACUAUACGAAUCCGUUUCACUACUCAUAGUUAUUCGGAUUAGUGUCAAAGCUUGCAUCGACGUAACCCUUUACGACGAACUCUUUAACCACCUCCAUAAUCGAGAAAAAUUCCUUAGUCCAUCAGUUACUAAGGAUAAAUUUUGACCGCUGCUAGUGAUUCAAUCAUGGAUCACUCUCUGUACCUCUCAACAGACUUGCUGCAAGGCACACAUCAGGUGCGGUACUCAGCAUGGCAUACUUUAGAGUCUAUGGCUAAGGCAUAGAAGACGACCUUNNNNNNNNNNAUGUACCUCUCAACAAACUUUGAGUCAAGGCACACAUCAGGUGCGGUACCCAGCAUGGCAUACUUCAGAUUCUACGGCCAAGGCAUAGAAGACGACCUUCGUCUAUUCUCUUUAUUCUGCCGGGGUCGGGUUUUGAGUCUUACUCAAAUUCACACCUCACAACGCAACCAAGAACUCCUUCUUUGCUGAUCUAUUUUGAACUCCUUCAAAGACUUGUCAAGGCAUGGAUCUUGUUGAAACUUCCGCUAAGCACUUUCGAUCUAUCUCCAUAGAUCUUUGAUGCUCAACGUUCAAGUAGCGCAAUCCAGGUACUCCUUUGAAAACUCCUUUCAAACAACCUUGUAUGCUUUACAGAAAUUCUACAUUACUUCUGCUCCACAAUAUGUCAACCACAUAUACUUAUAAGAAAUUCUAUAGUGCUCCCACUCACUUCUUUGGAAAUACAAGUUUCUCAUAAACCUUGUACAAACCCAAAAUCUUUGAUCAUCUCAUCAAAGUGUAUAUUCCAACUCCGAGAUGCUUGCACCAGUCCAUUGAAGGAUCGCUGGAGCUUGCAUACUUGCUAGUAUCUUUAGGAUCAACAAAACCUCCUGGUUAUAUCACAUACAAUGUUUGCUCAAGGAAACCGUCGAGGAAACAAUGUUUUGACAUCCUAUGUGCAAUAUUUCAUAAAUAAUGCAUCAACUACUAACAUAAUUCUAACAGACUUUUAGCAUCGCUACGAGUGAGAAAGUCUCAUCACUACAAGAAACCUGUUAAUCCAUGACGGAUUUAUGGUGACGUUUUAGAAAACCGUCAUGAAAACUGUUACAAUUGAGCAACGUGCGAACGGGCGCAAAACGUUACUCCCUUUAUGACAGAAAUGGAGGUACCGUCAUGAACGUCGUCAUGGAUCUACUAGCUGGGCCUAGUCGGACUGUCACCGACGUUCCUUGCUGAUGUGUAGUGCGUCCUUAUAUCCUCCAUGCUGCCAAAGGUGCUUUCUGAUUGGUUGAUAUGACCCUCUCGCGGAUCACGCACAAGCACCGUCCAUCCCUCCUAGAUCCAACGGUAGGCACACUCUCCCCUCUCUUUGUUCUCUCUUCCUCCACCCGUGAUCCUCCCCUGAGCCGCCUACUGUUCGAUCCCAAAACUAAUCCCCCAAUUUCGGACCGAGGCACCAUAGAUCUCAGCUCCUUCCCCACGCGCCUCUCACCAGAUCCAUGCCGACAUGCCCAUCCUCUCCUCCCCGUCCAUCUGCUCGUGGAUCUUGUCGCCGGGGUAUCCUUCCCGGAUCUGUUCGCAAGUCCCCAGCCUCAACCAGGGACGCCAACCACCACCACCACCCCUCUCACGUCGUCGUCCCUCGCCGGUCACGCCGUGGUAGGGACUGCUGCUUCCCCUCCGUCGCACACUCAUAGAGGCGACAAGGAAGCGAAUUGCCCUCCUCGAGGGCUGGACGGUGCUGCCACUGUGCAAUGUACGGCUGCAGGCGUUCACCUCCUAGUCCAUCGUCUGCGACGCACCUUAUUCUCCAUCAAGGUUAGCUACCCGCUCGACCCUGUUCCCCGGCUCUCCCUGCAGUUCAUGAAUUCGGGAUGUUGUCUUUGGGUUCUGACUGUGUUGUUGACUGGUCUGAUUGAUUAACUUCUUGUCUUCAAUCGCUGAUGCAGUGCACAACUACUUGCUGCUGAACCUUGUUAGUGUGUUCUAAGGGACGGAGACGGGGAGAGAUGUAGUUGUACAACUACUUGCUGCUGAACCUUGUUAGUGUGUUCGUCCAAUUGAUUAACUUUAGGGCACACCUCAAUUGGAACUCCACACUGCACUAUAGCAAUAUUGUUUUGGAAUGCCCCAUUUAUGGUGAUGACUGAAUGCGUAUUUGGAUAUAGUUAAAUUAUAGUUUGAUCUGGUUCGUUCUGCUGUCUUGGGAUCUAUAACGCAGAGGCGUAUCUCAGGUGUUNNNNNNNNNNNNNNNNNNNNNNNNNNNNNNNNNNNNNNNNNNNNNNNNNNNNNNNNNNNNNNNNNNNNNNNNNNNNNNNNNNNNNNNNNNNNNNNNNNNNACAGCGCGACGCGGCACCGAGACGAACUGCCGCGGGCCUCUAUGGCAGAGAGAGGGGGGCUCUGGAUCUGCCGUGGCGGAGCUGGAUCCAGCGACGAGGGACGUGCCGUCGCCGGCGGCGAUCGAUUCCGGCGAGAUCGAGCGAUCGUUUUUUCUCUUCUCCCCCCGUGCGGUGUGGUGGUGUGUGUCAGCGACCGAUGAUGCUUUUUUUUCUUCUCUCCAACCGAUGAUCGUUCGUGGAGAUCUGGUGUGCCAUGCCACGCAUACGCCAUUCUUUCACUUUGCCCCCCGGUGCUAACCGUCCCUCGCAAACGGGUCCCUGAAUAAUACCUUAGGGGCUAUUAUGUUCUUCCACUUUGGCCCCUGUUACUAACCGUCCUUCGAGAACGGGUCCCUGAAUGAUACAUUAGGGGCUAUUCUGUCAAAAGUGGAUAAACUACCNNNNNNNNNNCUUCUUGUCUCCAACCGAUGAUCGUUCGUGGAGAUCUGGUGUGCCAUGCCACGCAUACGUCCUUCUUCCACUUUGCCCCCGGUACUAACCGUCCCUCGCAAACGGGUCCCUGAAUAAUACCUUAGGGGCUAUNNNNNNNNNNGAGUACUUAUAGUCACACUGCAACCAACUUAGUAAUUACAAAUUAGUCGAUUUCCUCGCGUUUCUCGAGGUGUCGUAGUGGAGGUUGCUCCAUGCUCAGCAUCGUUUGGGUGCACGACACGAAAUUGAUCGGUACUGCUCUCUCGGUCGGUCCAGGUGCAUAGAGCGAUUAAGGAGUCGCGGCGUGACCAAGACACAGUAUGACAUGUCAGCGUUAAGUUUAAUAUAUUGGAAGCUAUAUGAGAGGGUCAAAAGAGGCAAUGGGCNNNNNNNNNNNNNNNNNNNNNNNNNNNNNNNNNNNNNNNNNNNNNNNNNNNNNNNNNNNNNNNNNNNNNNNNNNNNNNNNNNNNNNNNNNNNNNNNNNNNACAGAAACAAGAGUUCAAUGUAGGUGAUUAUGUCUUGCUAUACAAUUCUUGUUUGAGAUUCUUUGCAGGCAAGCUUCUCUCUAAAUGGGAAGGUCCCUAUGUUGUUGAGGAAGUAUAUUGUUCCGAUGCCAUCAAAAUCAAUAACACGAAAGGAAAUUUUCCUAGAGUGGUAAAUGGGCAAAGAAUCAAGCAUUACAUCUCUGGUACUCCCAUACAUGUUGAUACCAAUAUCAUCAAUGUCAUAACUCCAGAGGAGUACAUAAGGGAUGUUUAUCAGCCUGUUUCAGACCUUGAAAAUGAAGAUGUAUCUGUUUGAGUAAGAAAUUGGACUCCGAUGCUUUUCCAAUAGGAAAUUUCCUCCGUUUUGGAAUUUUUGGAAAAUUAGAAAAAUAAAAAGCAGUCCGGAGAGCGAACGAGGCGGCCACAAGCCCUGCCACCGCCCCUACCCCCCUGGUGGCGGAGGGCAAGCUUGUGGGCACCUCGUGUGCCUCCCGGACUCCGUUUGCUUGCAGAGGACUCCUUCUGGCCCAAAAAAAAUCAAUAUAUAGUCGCCCGAAGGUUUUGAUCUCCGUAUCGCGUAGUUUUCCUGUGUUUUCGUUUCGAGCCUAUUUCUGUGACAGAUCUAGAUCAUCAUGACUUCCCCAAACGCCCCUAAGGACAAGAUCUUCGAGAAAGUCAUCAAUCCCUACCUCACGGAAGUGCUGAAACACCCUCAAUCUAUCAAGAUGAGCGAGGGGAUGUUGCACAUCCGUGAUGUUGAGGGGCCUAAGAAGACCGGAAGCAUGGAAACGAGGCUCGAAGCAAUGGAGCAACAAGUCUUCAAGUGCUAAGGGAUGGUGGAGAGUGGACUCAACGCCAACCACACAAUGAUCAGGGAGUUCACUAGCAAUCACAAGAUGGAUGCCAUUGAUAUUGNNNNNNNNNNNNNNNNNNNNNNNNNNNNNNNNNNNNNNNNNNNNNNNNNNNNNNNNNNNNNNNNNNNNNNNNNNNNNNNNNNNNNNNNNNNNNNNNNNNNNNNNNNNNNNNNNNNNNNUGAUCAACUGCAGGGCCAGAUCUAUGACCAGCAGAACCAAAACUAUGAGUAUGAGUACAUAUUUAAAUCAAUAAGGUUGGCUGCAGAUUUGAGGAUUCCGGCGACUCGUUCAUCCUGCCAUGAUGGAGCACCUAUGCCUUGGAAGACGGAGGAUCAGACUACUCCAACAACUCCACCACCAUCACCACCAAAGGAAGACAACUAAGCAUUGGUAUGGGCAAUCCCCUUGGCUUCUGCCAAGCUUGGGGGAGUUGCCCUGGUAUNNNNNNNNNNNNNNNNNNNNNNNNNNNNNNNNNNNNNNNNNNNNNNNNNNNNNNNNNNNNNNNNNNNNNNNNNNNNNNNNNNNNNNNNNNNNNNNNNNNNCUAGAUCGUGGGACUGAUCGCGGGACGGUUCGCGGGGCGGAUCGAGGGGCGUGAGGACGUUCCACUACAUCAACCGCGUUCACUAAUGCUUCUGCUGUACGGUCUACAAGGGUACGUAGAUCACACAUCCCCUCUCGUAGAUGGACAUCACCAUGAUAGGUCUUCGUGCGCGUNNNNNNNNNNUCUGUACGAUCUACAAGGGUACGUAGAUCACUCAUCCCCUCUCGUAGAUGGACAUCACCAUGAUAGGUCUUCGUGCGCGUAGGAAAAAUUUUGUUUCCCAUGCGACGUUCCCCGACAGUGGUAUCAGAGCCAGGUUCAUGCGUAGAUGUCUUCUCGAGUAGAACACAAAAGUUUUUGUGGGCGGCGAUGCGCGUUUUGCUGCCCACCUUAGUCUUUUCUUGAUUCCGCGGUAUUGUUGGAUUGAAGCGGCUUGGACCGACAUUACUCGUACGCUUACGAGAGACUGGUUUCAUCGCUACGAGUAACCCCGUUGCUCAAAGAUGACUGGCAAGUGUCAGUUUCUCCAACUUUAGUCGAAUCGGAUUUGACCGAGGAGGUCCUUGUAUAAGGUUAAAUAGCAAUUNNNNNNNNNNUAUCUCCGUUGUGGUGUUUGCGUAAGUAAGAUUCGAUCCUACUAGAUACCCAUGGUCACCACGUAAAACAUGCAACAAUAAAAUUAGAGGACGUCUAACUUGUUUUUGCAGGGUAUGCUUGCGAUGUGAUAUAUUGGAUGUAUGAAAUGAUCAUGUUGUAAUAGAUAAUAUCGACUUGCACGUCAAUGGUACGGCAACCGGCAGGAGCCAUAGGGUUGUCUUUAAACUAACGUUUGUGCUUGCAGAUGCGUUUACUAUUUUGCUAGGAUGUAGCUUUAGUAGUAAUAGCAUGAGUAGCACGACAACCCCGAUGGCGACACGUUGAUGGAGAUCAUGAUGAUGGAGAUCAUGGUGUGACGCCGGUGACAAGAAGAUCGUGCCGGUGCUUUGGUGAUGGAGAUCAAGAAGCACGUGAUGAUGGCCAUAUCAUGUCACUUAUGAAUUGCAUGUGAUGUUAAUCCUUUUUUGCACCUUAUGUUGCUUAGAACGACGGUAGCAUUAUGAGGUGAUCUCUCACUAAAAUUUCAAGAUGAAAUUGUGUUCUCCCCGACUGUGCACCGUUGCGACAGUUCUUCGUUUCGAGACACCACGUGAUGAUCUGGUGUGAUAGACUCAACGUUCACAUACAACGGGUGCAAAACAGUUGCACACGCGGAACACUCGGGUUAAGCUUGACGAGCCUAGCAUGUGCAGACAUGGCCUCGGAACACAUGAGACCGAAAGGUCGAGCAUGAAUUGUAUAGUUGAUUUGAUUAGCAUAGAGAUGCUUACCACUGAAACUAUUCUCAACUCACGUGAUGAUCGGACUUGAGAUAGUGGAUUUGGAUCAUGUACCACUCAAAUGACUAGAGAGAUGUACUUUUUGAGUGGGAGUUCUUAAGUAAUAUGAUUAAUUGAAGUAAUUUUCAUGAACAUAGUCUAAUGGUCUUUUCGAAUUACGAUGUAGCUUGCACUAUAGCUCUACUGUUUUUAUAUGUUCCUAGAGAAAAUUUAGUUGAAAGUUGAUAGUAGCAAACUUUGCAGAGGAUUGUCCUCGUUGCUGCGCAGAAGGCUUAUGUCCUUAAUGCACCACUCGGUGUGCUGCACCUCGAGCGUCGUCUGUGGAUGCUGUGAACAUCGGACAUACACGUUUCUGAUGACUACACGAUAGUUCAGUGCAAAAUACUUAAUGGCUUAGAAGCAAGGCGCCGAAGACAUUUUGAAACAUCACGGAACAUAAGUGAUAUUCUAAAGAGAUGAAAUUGUGAUUUCAUGCUUGUGCCCUUGUUCAGAGGUACGAGACCUCCGACAAGAUUCUUUGUCCAUAGAGUAAAGGAGAAAAGCUCAAUCGUUGAGCGUGCGCUCAGAUUGUCUGAGUACGACAAUUGCUUGAAUCAAGUGGGAGUUAAUCUUCCAGAUGAGAUAGUGAUGGUUCUCCAAAGUCACUGCCACCAAGCUGUGAGAGCUUCGUGAUGAACUAUAACAUAUCAAGGAUGGAUACAAUGAUCCUUGAGCGAUUCGCGAUGUUUGACACUGCGAAAGUAGAAAUCAAGAAGGAGCAUCAAUAGUUGAUGGUUUGUAAAACCACUAAGUUUCAAGAAAGGCAAGGGCUAGAAGGGAUACUUCGUGAAACGGCAAAACAGUUGUGCACUAAUGAAGAGACCCAAGAUUAAACCCAAACCCGAGACUAAGUGCUUCUGUAAUGAGGGGAACAGUCACUGAGGCGGAGCAACUCUAGAUACUUGGUAGACAAGAAGGCUGGCAAAAGUCGAAAGAAGUAUAUUUGAUAUACAUGAUGUUGAUGUGUACUUUACUAGUACUCCUAGUAGCAUGAGGGUAUUGGAUACCGGUUCGGUUGCUAAGUGAUUAGUAACACGAAAUGAAAGCUAUGGCAUAAAUGGAGACUAGCUAAAGGCGAGGUGACGAUACGUGUUGGAAGUGUUUCCAAGAUUGAUAUGAUCAAAACGUCGCGCGCUCCCUCUACCAUCGGGAUUGGUGUUAAACCGAAAUAAUUGUUAUUUGGUGCUUGCGUUAAGCAUGAACAUGAUUGGAUCUUGUUUAUUGCAAUACGAUUAUUCAUUUAAAGAUAAUAAUGGUUACUCUAUUUUCCUUGAAUAAUCACCUUCAAUGAUUUAUUGAGUCUCGAUCGUAGUGUUACACAUGUUCAUGAUAUUGGUGUCAAAAGAUACGAGGUAAUGAUGUUAGUACCACUUACUUGUGGCACUGCCGCUUGAGUCAUGUUAGUAUAAAUUGCAUGAAGAGGCUCCAUGCUAAUGGAUCUUUAUAUUCACUUGAUUUUGAAUCACUAGUGACAUGCUAAUCAUACCACAUGAGCAAGGCCUUGUUUUGAUUGAGAUGAAUCAAGAUAGUAACUUGUUGGAAGUGAUACAUUUUGAUGUAUGCAGUCCAAUGGGUGCUGAGGCACGCAGUGAAUAUCAUUAUGUUCUUACUUCAAUGACGAUUUAAGUAGAUACAAGAGUAUUUACUUAAUGAAUCACAAGUCUGAAAUAUUGAAAAGUUCAAUUCUGUUUCAGAGUGAAGUUCGUCGUAACAAGAGGAUAAACUGUCUACGAUAUGAUCAUAGAAAUGAAUAUCUGAGUUACGAGUUUUGGUACGCAGUUAANNNNNNNNNNNNNNNNNNNNNNNNNNNNNNNNNNNNNNNNNNNNNNNNNNNNNNNNNNNNNNNNNNNNNNNNNNNNNNNNNNNNNNNNNNNNNNNNNNNNCGACCACAUACCUCCACGGUUUUACCUCUAGAUCGCGUCUCUGCGGAGCUCGGGCGGAGCCCUGCCGAGAUUAGAUCAUCACCAACCUCCGGAGCGCCGUCACGCUGCCGGAGAACUCAUCUACCUCUCCGUCUCUCUUGCUGGAUCAAGAAGGCCGAGAUCAUCGUCGAGCUGUACGUGUGCUGAACGCGGAGGUGCCGUCCGUUCGGCACUAGAUCGUGGGACGGAUCGCGGGACGGUUUGUGGGACGGUUCGUGGGACGGUUCGAGUGGCGGAUCGAGGGACGUGAGGACGUUCCACUACAUCAACCGCGUUCACUAACGCUUCUGCUGUGCGAUCUACAAGGGUACGUAGAUCGGAAAUCCCCUCUCGUAGAUGGACAUCACCAUGAUAGGUCUUCGUGCGCGUAGGAAAUUUUUUGUUUCCCAUGCGACGUUCCCCAUCAGAAGGGCCUAUCUUGUACCUUUACUUUUUGCCCUUAUAAGAGUCAUGGUGAUCAUCACCAAUUCCCUUUUUGCCUUUUUCUUGGCUACCCGUCACAUGCUUGGGAAAGAUCUAUAUUCAUAUAUCAACUUGGAGUUGAGUACUUAUGCUUUAUUGUUGUUGACUUUACCUUUGAGGUAAAUGGUUGGGAGGCAAAACUAUAAGCCCCUAUCUUCCUCUGUGUCCAGUUAAAACUUUGACACCAUGAGUACCACGUGAGUUGUAACAAUUGUGGAAAACAAAAGAGAUGAUUGAGUAUGUGGGUUUGCCUUACAAGCUCUUAUUUGACUCUUUCUGAUGUUGUGAUAAAUUGCAAUUGCUUCAAUGGCUAUGGUUUAUUGUUGGUUACUUCUCGGUAAGGUUUUUUGCUUCAUGGUUUGCUUUGUGAAGGAAUUGUUACUUUCCCAUAAGAAUCUUUAUGAUGUAUUGUUGUUCUAUGUGUGAUCAUGAUGCCCUCAUGUCCGUAUUAUGUUUUAUCGACACCUUCGUCCCUCAACAUGUGGACAUGUUUAUGGAACUUGGUUUUCGCUUGAGGACAAGCGAGGUAUAAGCUCGGGGGAGUUGAUACGCCCAUUUUGCAUCAUGCUUUCAUGUUGAUAUUUAUUGCUUUUUGGGCUGUUAUAUUACUUGUGGUACCAUAUUUAUGCUUUUUCUCUCUUAUUUUGCAAGUUUUAUUUGAAGAGGGAGAAUUCACGCAGCUGGAAUUCUGGACUGGAAAAGGAGCAAAUCCUAGUCCACUAUUCUGCACAUCUACAAAUGCCCUGAAAAGUUACGUGGAUUUUUUUGGGAUUAUAUAAAAAAUACUGGGCGAAAGAACUACCGGAGGGGGGCUGCCAAGGCGCCACAAGCCCUAAUACCGCCACCCCCUGGUGGCGGAGUGGGGGCUUGUGGGCUCCCUGACAGCCCACUAGCCCCCUCUUUUGCUAUAUGAAUCAUCCUGGUCCAGAAAAAAAAAUCAGAGGGGAGCUUUUUCGUGGUUUCGCCGCCACCACGAGGCGGAACUUUAGCAGAUCCAAUCUAAAGCUCCGGCAGGACGAUCCUGCCGGGGAAACUUCCCUCCCGGAGGGGGAAAUCGUCGCCAUCGUCAUCACCAACACUCCUCUCGUCGGAUGGGAGGCAUGUUCAUCAACAUCUUCAUCAGCACCAUCUCCUCUCCAAUCCCUAGUUCAUCUCUUGUAACCAAUCUUCGUCUUGCAACUCCGAUUGGUACUUGUAAGGUUGCUAGUAGUGUUGACUACUCUUUGUAGUUGAUGCUAGUUGGAUUACUUGGUGAAAGAGUUUAUGUUCAGAUCCUUGAUGCUAUUCAUUACACCUCUGAUCAUGAUUAUGAUUAUGUUUUGUGAGUAGUUACUUUUGUUCCUGAGGACAUGGGAUAAGUCAUGUUAAUAAUAGUCAUGUGAAUUUGAUAUCCGUUCGGUAUUUUGAUAUGUUGUAUGUUGUUUUUCCUCUAGUGUGUUAUGUGAACAUCGACUACAUAACACUUCACCAUAUUUGGGCCUAGAGGAAGGCAUUGGGGAGUAGUAAGUAGAUGAUGGGUUGCUGGAGUGACAGAAGCUAAAACCCCAGUCUAUGCGUUGCUUCGUGAGGGGAUGAUUUGGAUCCACUAGUUUAAUGCUAUGGUUAGACUUUGUCUUAAUUNNNNNNNNNNCGAGAGAGGUUAAUCAUAACUGGGAUGCUUGUCCAAGUAAGGGCAACACCCAAGCGCCGGUCCACCCACAUAUCAAACUAUCAAAGUAACGAACGCGAAUCAUAUGAACAUGAUGAAACUAGCAUGACAGAAAUUCCCGUGUGUCCUCGGGAGCGUUUUUCCUCCUAUAAGACUUUGUUCAGGCUUGUCCCUUGCUACAAAAGGGAUUGGGCCACUUGCUGCACCGUCGCUACUACUUGUUUCUUGUUACUUUUUGCUUGCUACGUUUCACCUGCUAGACAAUCACUUGUUACCGCUACUUUCAGUGCUUGCAGUUAUUACCUUGCUGAAAUCCGUUUAUCAGAGCCUUCUGCUCCUUGUUGGGUUCGACAGUAUUACUUAUCGAAAGGACUACGAUUGAUCCCCUAUACUUGUGGAUCGUCAACCAGCGCCGGCGUCGUUCUACUGCUCCAACUCGACGACAACUCAAAUGAAACACUAUCAUGUUUCAAGUAUGAACAUCCUCAUCGGUGUCUAUUACUGUAAUAUAGUAAGAUGCAAUAUUUUACAUUAAAAGUGAGUCAACCAUGUGACUUUGGUCCACGGACUAGUAAAGAUCCAUUUUUGGUUCAUACCCUAUACGAUUCACCGGCCUAUUGCCUCAUUUGAAACUAGUGUGCUUAACUAUUCCUACUAGGUGAACCACAUUGCCUCAUUUGAAACUAGUGUGCUUAACUAUUCCUACUAGGUGAACCAAUUGACUCACCGGCCCAUUGCCUCUUUUGACCCUCUCAUAUAGCUUCCAAUAUAUUAAACAUAUAACGCUGACCUGUCAUAUUGUGUCUUUGUCACGCCACGACUCCUUAAUCGCUCUAUGCACCUGGACCGAUCGAGAGAGCAGUACCGAUCAAUUUCGUGUCCUGCGACCAAACGACGCUGAGCGUGGAGCAACCUGUGCUACGACACCUCGAGAAACGCGAGGAAAUAGACUAAUUUGUAAUUACUAAGUUGGCUGCAGUGUGACUAUAAGUACUAGGCAGUUUAUCCACUUUUGACAGAACAGUCCCUAAUGUAUUAUCCAGGGACCCGUUCUCGAGGGACGGUUAGUAACAGGGGCCAAAGUGGAAGAACAGAAUAGCCCCUAAGGUAUUAUCCAGGGACCCGUUUGCGAGGGACGGUUAGUAACAGGGACCAAAGUGGAAGAACAGAAUAGCCCCGAAGGUAUUAUUCAGGGACCCGUUUGCGAGGGACGGUUAGCACCGGGGGGGUAAAGUGGAAGAAGGGCGUAUGCGUGGCAUGGCACACCACAUCUCCACGAACGAUCAUCGGUUGGAGAGAAGAAGAAAAAAAAAAGGAUCAUCGGUCGCUGACAGACACCACCACACCGCGCGGGGGGAGAAGAGAAAACAACGGUCGCUCGAUCUCGCCGGAAUCGAUCCCCGCCGGCGACGGCGACGCCCCUCCUCGCCGGAUCCAGCUCCGCCGCCCCAGAUCCGGCGCCCCCCUCCCUCCUCCGUAGAGGCCCGCGGCAGCUCGUCUCGGUGCCGCGCCGCGCCGUCGGAGAAGCCUCCUCCGGCGUCCCGCGGCACCGCCGACUCGGGGGGAGCCUCCCCACGGGGACCAGCUCCGGCGUCGUUCUACUGCUCCAACUCGACGACGCCAUCGCCUAGGG